CCACCCGCUCCACAUGCCCACACGCCGUCAAAAUCACAUCUUUGCCCGGAGGUCGCAGUAACAUGCUUGUCAAGGUCCGUAUUUUUUAGACAGGUAUAGAUAAAAUGCUAAUAUGAUGUCUUCACCCAGAAAUAAUUGAAACAGCCAGCUCACAAGUGCAGCAGACGACACAAAACGAACCAAAAAAACCUCCACUUAUCUGAAGUUCCUUAAUCCACAUCGACCAUUCUUUGCAAUUUGCACGCAUGGUACGUUUAUACACACAGAGAAGAGUAGUUUACAAUGGCGGACCAGGCGCCGUGCCGUGCCAGGGCCUAAGACCCAGGCGCGAACUUGGUGGCGAAAACCCAGGCGUUGUUGGCGACGGGGUCAUCAAGGUGGUCGAAGAGGUUCUCCAAGGGCCCCUUCCCGGUAACGAUGGCCUGCACGAAGAACCCGAACAUGGAGAACAUGGCGAGCCGGCCGUUCUUGAUCUCCUUCACCUUGAGCUCAGCAAAAGUGACAGGGUCAUCGGCUAGUCCCAACGGGUCGAAAUACUGCCCGCCCGGGUAAAGGUCGUUGCCUUCCCCGACGCCGUCGAGCCCGUUGAUGCGGAACCCUUCGACGAGGCCCAUGAGGAGCACCUGCGAGCCGAGGACCGCCAGGAUGCUCUGCGCGUGGACCAGGUUGGGGUUUCCCAGGUAGUCGAGCCCGCCCUCGGAGAAGAUCUGGGCGCCCGCCUUGAACCACACGGGCUCCUUGAACUCCACGCCCACCCACUUCUGGAGCACCUCCGGGAACACGCAGCCGAGGGCGCCGAGCAUCGCCCAUCGCCCGUGGAUCACCUCCAGCGCCCUGUUCCGGGCGAAGGCUUCAGGGUCGGCCGAUAGCCCGGCCGUGUCCCAGCCGUAGUCGCCCGGGAACUCGCCGCUCAGGUAUGACGGCGUCUGGGCCGAGAAUGGGCCCAGGUACUUCACCCGGUCUGGCCCGUACCACAGCUCGUUGCUCUGCGACCGCACACAGAACAGAGAACACUUUGUUUAGCAUUGCAGCUAGGCUGAUGCUGUGGUGUGGUUGAUUGAAGGAAUUUUUGGGGAAUGCACGUACCAUGGAGAUCCUGCCGUUGGACGCGGCGGCGGCGACGUCGCGGAGGGGGCUGGCGACGGCGGGGCGGGCGCCGAGGAAUGGCGUCUUGCCGGCGACGGCGCGGGAGGCGGGGGCCAUGAGGGUCGAUACCAUCUUCUGCGGCUCCGGCGUCUCAGUUUGCUGCUCUGCGAGGUGUUUGUUGGAGGACUUGAGAGAGGCGACGUGGAAGUAUUUGUAGCACGAGUUUGCUGUGGAGGAUUUGAGUUGAGGUGGAGAAGAUUUCUGGAUUUGGUUCGGGCCAAUCGGCGGGCGGCAUUGGAUCGGUCGGGGUGUGGUGUUGCCACCUCGGAUGGCUUCCCUAUCCCGUCCCUCCCCAUGUGUUUAUCUGCCCGCCGCGCGCCACCGCAUUUCUUUGCGUUGCGUGCCCGCGGUUGUUGUUGGGCCGGGCUGCAUCUUGAUGCCCCAACAAAGACCAUAUGAGCAUGAUGCUACUUCAUUCGGAAUUUCGGAGCUCCGGUCUUAAUUGAUGAUCACCUCAUUUUAGUCCCUAACUGAAAAACCCAAUUUCUGUCGGCUGUCGUCAAUACUACUCCGUCCAUUCUAUAUUUCUUUUCGCGGCAAAAAUUAUGAAACCGAGAAAAUACUAAAUUACUAAUUGUUAAAAAUAGUAAUGUAUAUUUGAGAAUAUUAUAGAAUAAUUUGGAUAAUUGGGGAGUGUUGAAAAUUAGCAAUACAUACUUGACAAGUCUAUACAAUACUUUGGAUAAUUAGAGAAGUAAGAUAUUUACAAGUAGCCUUCUGAGAAGAUUGAAAUAUUCUAGAAGGCCUGAAAGGUUGCUUGAAGAGGGAUGAUAUUUAACAUGAAAGAUCUUAGAUUAAGCUCAAUGAGUUAGUGAAAAUUCUCUAGAACUAAGAUGCUUGUAGAGUAUUCUAGAGAAUAGAUAUUUCUGAGUGUAAGAUUUGGAUGCUUGCCACUUGGCACUAAUCCAACAAUAUUGUAAUUCUAUAAUUAGAGUUGUGAGCUAUCAUGAUUGAGUAGUAUAGCUGUAUAUGUGAGUGUGAAUAAAUUUUUGAUUUUACUUCUACUAAGUGUGAUAUCCGAGUAAAAUAGGUGUGCAUACGUCCUCGACACUCAGUGUCGAGGCUCCUGCCGAAAUCUCUACAUAAUUAAUUUCAAUCAGCUUAGUAGAUGCUUUCCCCACGGCCAAGGACCAUGUACACGUGAAAUUUCAUAUGGUUUAUACAAAACUAAAUGGAAAACAUAUGUGAAUAACAUGAAUUAGUGCAUCCUCCUCACCGAUCUUUACAAGUCGUUGCCGCUCCCUCUGUAGCGGGUAAGAUGACGUCUAUGAUUCUAGAAAUUGUAGCGUUGACAAAACAUUUUCUAUAAGUCCAAAAUUGCUAGUUUAAGUAGUAUCCUCUUUGAAAAUAUAAAUCACAACAACAUUAAUGAAGAUGUUAAAUCAACAAAAACAACCGCAAAACGAAUUCUGACUUCUCUCCACUGCCCAGAGUCGUAAAAUAAAAAUAAAAAGACAAACAAAAGAAUCGGGUUAUUAACCCAAACCUUCGAUAGAUCAUCGGAGAGGACCUCAGAUCUUCAGAUUAUCAUGUUAUUUGAGUUAAUUUGGACGCUGAUAACUGCUCUGCGCCACUAGAGAUGCAUGUCAUUCGCUUGAAGAAAAAUAACCGUCGAGUUGCUGAUGAUGUGGCCGUUCUGUAUCUACACGGUGUGCCACGUCAUGUUAAUGUCGGUGGUAGGUGCUGGUACGCAAGCUGGUGUGGUUCUCGGUGGCGAAGAGAUGUCCAUCAUAGGGGAUAAGAUGGCGGACUCGUUGACGGCAUCAACGACAGCACGACCACUAGUAGAGGACCUCUCCGCCUUCCUCUCUGGUGGUAAGUUAGAGGAAAGUCGACGUCAUCAACGACAGCACGACCUGGUAGAGGACUUCUCCGCCUUCCUCUCCGGCGGCAAGUUAGAGGAAAUGGUCGCAGGACCGCAAGCGUACUCGCACUCCAAAGCACCUCCAUCAUCAUCCGUUUGUGGGCUGCCAAGAAGAAUUCUUAAUUUCAAAAACUGGGUUUAGUUUUGAUUUCUAAUGCGCAUAUGCAGGGAACAAGAGAUGGAAGAAAUUUUGUUGGCAUAGUUAAUUGUGCGGGGAAGCUAGUGUUUGAAGUUCAGUUCAGUGCCCUCUGACCUGAAGAUUGAUGGAGUUACUUUUUAUCACGGUUGUAACACUUCUGUAUGAAAUUUAUGUAUUUAUCAACCACUGAAAUGAUCAUAUUAUGUAGUACCAGUGCAAUAUCCAAACUAUUGCAGCCCACCAUUCACAGGAAAUCAAGCGAUCACACGAAAAUUAACAAAUGAUCUUGUAAAGAUUGUAUUCUAUUUCACAGAGGAGUACAUACAACAUUGAUUUUCAUAGUUCAUACUAGGCAGAGCGAACUGCAUUAUCCCCAACAAGUUUGCAUUCAGUAAAGAAGCUAAUUAAGCAGUGCAAUACCAUUCCCAAUCCUUCCCUCAUUUGUAGAAUUUAUUGAGUGUAACCACCGAGAAUCUGCUGGUCAAAUCAUCAAAUGAUCCUUCCAUCUCAUUUUGCUUUGUGUAAACCAAUCAUCCAAGACCAGCACUAGUGGAUGAACAAGUGUACCUUUUUUUUAUCAUAAAGACUGCCACUCAAGCAUUUGUUAAUUUGUCCACUCAAGCAGCUAACUCCGAAGAAUUUUGAAUUUUAAUUGAGAAUGCAAUUGAUAGUCUUAGCAAGGAGGUUGAAACUUGAUUUAAUUUUUUUUAGGGAACUCUAUUUAAAAUUGGAAGUCAAAGUAAUCAUGAUGAGGGUUUUGAAGCACAAAGAUACGUGAAACAUAUGAACAUUUAGCUGCUGCGCGUUUGAAGAAAAAUAUGUCCAAGAAAUAAAACUACAAAGAGAAAGCUAACUAGGAUUGAAAAGUUUCACAAGAAGAAAAAGAUUUUGAAGCAGGGAAGUUCCCUCUUAAUUAGUUUUUUAAAAAUUCCCGGAAACAACAUAAAGUGAUUAAAAAGCAGAAAAUGGUUCUAGGAGCAUCCAAAAUGAUUUUGAAGGUUACUGAUCUGUUGAUGGUAUGUUCCAUGUGCAACGCAUUGAGAUUGUAGUCAUGACAUACUGUUGUUUCAAGAUACCAAAUGCUCUGCAGGUUUCUGGUGUUGAAGACAUUGAUGCAGAAGAGACAUUGAUGCAGAAGCCAUUGUAAUGUAGCAUUGAAAUAUUUAGAAGUAUAGUGCUGUUGUAUGUAGCACUCAGAAAUUCAAAACUUUGCAUAAGUGUAGGUAGCACUUCAAAUUCAGAGAUUUUCAGAACUGUUACAUGCUCUUGCAGCUUGUGGUUAGAGAUGGCAACAUGUCCUGUGAAUUGCUCUCUUUUCAACGGCGCACGCUUUGGAAAUUAUGCCCAGGCGGAGGCGACUCUUUGGGUGGUUUCUGACCAACCUGAGAGCUAUACAUGGAUUUGGUCUUGGGGCAAAUCACCACGUCACGAGUGAUGUUGGUUACUGCAACGAUAUGCGGUGUGCUAAAUAUUAUCCGAGGCUUCAGUAUUCCCUUGUGUAUGAGCUUAUGUGGAGACAUCCGGUCAGUAUUCUUUCUCCGAAUGGAUCAUUACUAGUUGUAGGGAAGGAUUGGACAGAAAUCAACUUCACCAUAAUGGGGAAUGCAUGGAGACAAUAUGCUUCCAAACUAACUUUGCAGGUGUUUCUCAGUACCCUACUGGUCAGAUAUCUAGCGGCUGGUUAUAAUUUAAAACUAGUAUCUUCUCGUAGCCAUAAACUUAUUCUUGGAAUCUGGGUAUUCUAUUGUUGCAUAGUGUUGUAUUAAGCACAAUGGAAUAUUUGGGCCUUUUGAUGCUGUCUGUUGCAUAUCAGGGACUCUGGACAGUGGAAUCCAGGUCAGUUCUCGAAAUAGACUGCUACGGAGUACUACUGUUAUAUCUCAUCAAUGGCAACCUGAAUGUGCACUACAUGCAGAUCCAACACCCAAAAUGGCUUUGCAGUUGCCCUUCCAGCCACUGCUAGACACAUAUUACCUUGAUGCCUGCACCAUGUUGUAGUGUGCUUUCUCAGAUCUCUUAUCAGGUCACGGCCGCUCGCUCGUUGUGCCCACCUACUCGAUGUCAGGCUUGUCAGCCCCCGAUGCCGAUGCGGCCACGGACCCCUCUGCUUCGUCGCUUCCAUUGCCCUGCUGCAGUACUGCCGGAGCCGACGCCGAUGAGGUUGGCCCUUCAUCAUCUCGUGCCGACGGUUCGAUUUUGGCGCUGCGCCUGCGGAUCCGUCGGGAGAUGGCCCCCUUGGCCCUCUCCCACAGCGACGGCCUCCGGACCCGAGGGACGAACAUCCGGUCGAGCUCGUCCAGCCUCAGCCCGAGCCUCUUUAUCGCCUGCUCGAGUUCCUCGUACUCCCGCCAGAGUUCCUCCGUGUCCCGCUCCACCUCUUCCAUCCUCCGCUGCAGAUCUUCCACUGUCCACGAGCCAGGAGCCGGAAUGUUCUCCAUCUCCCACUUGGCCUUGCCCAUCCCCGGCUCGAGAUCGUCGGCUGUCCACAAGGGACCGAGACCCAUCUCGUCGAUGCUCGCUCGUCGGGUGACUCCAACGCAUCCGGUCGGCCGUGUGCUGAAGCAAUUGAUCAGCGCCAUCGAUCUCUCUAGAUUUUAUAUUUUUCUUGAGAAGCCUCGCCGCACGCAUUGGCCUUUUUAUCAAGUUUAUUACGGUGGCAAUUAGCGGCAAAGCCGAGUCCAUCCCGGUCUCGGAAUCAGGCGUGGGCCGUGGGCCUUGGGAUUAAGCUUCGGUGCCGGAACACUAGCCUCUUGAGUUAGGGGAACGUACGACGGCAAAGUCAAACUGGAGAAAGUAUUUGAUCUUAUCUCGGUCUCUCUGGCCGCCUCUCUGCUGCACUGUACCGAUCUCUCCUAUAGAAACUCUAUCUCUUAUGCGUGUGAUCAUGUGUCCUGUCCGAUUUCAAUUAGUUCUGUGUGAAAAUUGAUCAAUCUAAAAAGUUUCUACAAGUAAGGCAAAUCUAACGAAUCUAUGCUGCUCUGCAUGUUGAAUCGGCUUCACCAUCUCUUGUUCUAAUAUCUGUUCGCUCCUCUUUUGUCCCGGUUUGGAUUGUUCUUGGAUGGUGAGUUGCGUCAAUAUUUCUCGAGAGAAUUUCAUAUUUGCCACUCAAAAUUUGACCAAAUGCUACUCAGAAUUUGUCUGUUUCAAAUAUGCCGCUCAAAUUUUGCAUGGGUUACAAAUAUGCCAUUACUGCUAGUUGACCGUUAAGCAAGAGAUAAAAAGACAAUUUUGUCAUAGGGAGUAUGUUGGUUUUCCCUUUACAACAAAGUACUCGUUUUAGAGAACUUGUAAUUUCAGGUUUUUAAGAUGUCACUAACACACCAUUUCGGAGUAAGUUUCAGUAAUAAUGAUUUUGGCAUAAAAAUUAAAAAUUUCACCAACACUUCCCUUGGUUUUACUUAACAUCACGAAAUUUAUAAUAAAUUUAGCAGAAUAAUAUGCUAAAACUCAUCAUAAUUUCAGCAUACAUGCUCACAAGCGUUCCAAGUUCCAACAUGGUUUUGUUGGCCUCUCAUAUUUCAUUUUUUUCUGUCCAGAACAUGCAAGGGUAUCCCUCCCGAUCCAAAGAGGCCUGAUUUCAUUUCGUUCGAGCCGCGGUGUUGAAACUAAAGCUGGCCUAUAACCAAUCUACGGCAGUGCUCACUUCUCACAAAGAAUGGCUUCAGCAACAAGCAGAGCUAACUUGAAAGCUGAAGCAAAUUCGUUUGGCUAGUUUCAUGUUUUUGUGCACAUGGCAUUGAAAAUGAAAAUCGUUUUGCAUUGUACCUUAGGAAAUAGAAUUGCCACUGUUCCACAACCCUUUCUUCUUUCUAGACACUCGGUGUUGGUUUGCUAGCACACAACGAAUAUUUGCAUGGAAUGUACGUGCCAGUUCUAUGUCUGACUCGAUCGCAAGCACCGCACCACUCAUCCUGGCCUGUUCACUCGCGCUUUCGAAUAAAAAAGCGCGAGCGAACAGAAAAAAUACUAGUUGUUUUACUUUCUCUUGGAAUAGCAACAAAUUAACUUACGAAAGAAAGAGAAAGAUGAGUCGGCAGCUUUCCUGCCGAAUUCCCGUGGGAGAGGAAACAACAUUUGUCGUCUGCAAGAAUUAGUAGUACUACAACAUUUAAGUGCAUAUGCUACAACAUGACAUGCUCUUAUGAUCUUUUCCCCGUUACUUUGAAGAGAUCGAAUCUUGUUACCGAAAAAAGUUUUAAUGAUGGAAGCCAGGUGCGGCGACAUACUACAACUUUUCUGUGCACAGAACCGUAGUAAAGUGCCAGAGGAAAAUAGGAUAACAUAAGAAAUUUCAGAAUUGCUACGUUCUUUGCCAUAUUACACAGAACCGUAGUAAAGUGCCAGAGGAAAAUAGGCACCAUCCAAUACUCCAUAGGACUACAACUUUUCUGUGCAGCUGGAAUCAGAGCAACAUCGAUCUGCAUGUACAUCUGGAGAUAUGCUACGACGUGGCAUCUUCUAUCUCCCGCUCGUUUAGACAUGCCAACUCUUCCUAACAAAAUUUGCUAGUUCACGCGACGUAUUGAGAAAUCGAAACGGUGACAAUGGACGGCGCGCGCCUAAUCAGUUGUGCAGAUUGCAGCCCCCGCUGCGGCCACUGACCCCAAUCUCCUUCGCCGCUUCCUCUGCCCUGCCGGACGUACGUGGAGACGCGCGGAACGGAAUCGGCGAUACAGGCACAAACACGCAGAGAAAAGAGUACUGGCGUUUAUUCCUGAAAGCCAGGUCCGCUAGUGUUUACUUGGCCUUCGUCAUCUGGUGCCGCCGGUACGAUUUUGGCGCUGCGCCUGCGGAUCCGCCGGCAGAUGGCCCCCUUGGCCCUCUCCCACAACGACGGCCUCCGGACCCGAGGGACGGCGAACAUCCGCUCGCGCUGCUCGUCCCGCCUCCGCGCGAUCCUCUUUAUCGCCUGCUCGAGUUCCUCGUACUCCCGCCAGAGUUCCUCCGUGUCCCGCUCCACCUCUUCCAUCCUCUGCUGCCGAUCUUCCACCGUCCACGAGCCAGGAGCCGGAACGUUCUCCAUCUCCCACUGGGCCUCGCCCAUCCCCUGCUCGAGAUCUUCGUCGGCUGUCCACAAGGGACCGAGACCGAUGCCCGCAGCUCGUCGGGUGACUCCAACGUAUCCGGCCGGCCGUCUGCCGAAGCAGUUGAUCAGCCCCAUCGAUAUUUCGUCUUGGUCGCCUCGCCGCACACCUUGGCCUUUUAUCAAGUUUAUUUACGGGCGCAAUUAGCGGCAGCACGGGACGACUUAUGGAAGGAGACAGCAAAGUCGAGUCCAUCCCGGUUUCGGAAUCAGGCGUGCGCCAUGGGCCGUUGUUCAUGGGCCUUGGGCCGUGUGAUUAAGCUCUUGGUGCCGGUACCCUAGGAACAAGACGGCUGUCAUCCUAACGCGUGAGUCACCGAGAAAUCACGCGUGCCACCAAAGCACGGAAUCUUUUACUACCUGGCUGCAGCAGUCGAGCUCGAGACGAAGAAGGUGCCCGGAACGUACGACGGCAAAGUCGAGCUGGAGAAAGUUGUUGCGUCCGUCCUGACGGAGUGAUGGGCCUGAUUAAAACUGCUGGACUGGAAUGUGUAUUGAUCUGUCUCGGUCUCUUUGUCCGCCUCUCUGCUGCACUGUACCGAUCUCUCCCAUAGCCAAAACCAAUCUCUCUCUCUCUCUCUCUCAUGCGUGUGAUCAUGUGUCCUGUCCGAUUUCAAUUACUUCUGUGUGAAAAUUGAAAGUUUCGACACGUUUAAGUCUCCAUUUGUCGAAAUCAAAGAGUCUGCACUGAAAAUGGUAAACCCCUUUCGUCAGGACUUAUACGGUGGCCGUGUGUUUCUACGAUGCUGAUUGAUGUGGUACUCUGAAUUGCAUCUGAGGAGCAGGGAGGCAAACGGAGAAGAGCAUGCAGUAGGUGUAUCCGUGUACGGUGCUGCGAGUCUGGGCGCAUCUUCUAAGCGGAUCCCCUGCAGAGUCGCUAGAUCUGAUCUCUCCCUCUGUCUCAUCAUUGGCAUAACCAGUCACCAGUGACUCGGACAACCAGCUGUUUUAGAAUGAUUGUACUACGAGUAUCUUUUUGUCUGAAAUGCUUAGGACCGCAGUACUGUUUUUUAGCAAAGGAGUACCAAUGUUUACUUGUUGAUCAAGUAUAUUAUGUGCUGCACCUUGACGGUACAUUUUGUACAUCAACGACGCGGUUUAAUUACACAAGGUCGCCAUUACUAUCAUCCAUGUCACUGGCAGCAUCAGCAUCAGCAUCGACGACGGCCGCCUCCUUCUGCUCCUCCUCCUCCAUGGUGUCGGACAUGCCCUUCCCCCUGGUCUCCGGCAGGCAGGCGGCGAACAUGCCGAAGCAGCCGAUGACGAGCCCGAAGACCCCGAAUGACAGGAAGCUCCUCUGUCGGCCCAGCGCGACGAGCACCGGCGCCGCCACGCCGCCCAGCACGAGCGCCUGCCGCACCAUCCCCACCGCCGAGUUCCGCACGGACGUCGGGAACAGCUCGAUGGAGUACAUCAUCACGACGUUGAACGCAGUGCACGUCGCGAAGAAGGAGAGCAGCUCGGCGCCCAUCCGCAGCCCCUGCCCCGGGAUCACGAGGCACGCCAGGCUCGACACCCCCGCCAGCGCCGUGAGCGCGAUCACCGAGCUCCUGCGGUUGAUCCUGCCCAUGAGGAGCCAGGACAGGAUGGAGGAGGGGAGCUCUGCCAGCGCGUUGUACGUGACGCUCAGGUACAGGUUGGAGCCUCCCAGGUUGCCCACGUUGAGCGGCAUGCCGUAGUAGACCAUGCCGAUGCCGAAGCUGGCCGUCAUGAUCGCCGCCAGCCUCCGCAGCGCCCACGGCCGCUCCCACAUCGAGUGCAGCGCCGCGAACACGCUGCUGCUGCUGCUGCUGCUGUCGCUUGCGGCGGCCGCGUCCUCCUCCUGGUGCAUGACGCAGGCGUGCAGCAUGGAGAAGCUGGACGUGAUGGCGCUGUUGCCGUUGAGCGCCGCGAUCUGCCGCAGCGUCUCGAUGGCGUCCUGCUUCCGGCCGCGCACCAGCAGCCACCGCGGGGACUCCUGGACGAGGAAGUAGAAGAGGAUGGAGUAGCAGAGCGCCGGCAGGGACGUCCACAGGUACAUGUUCCGCCACGAGGCCUCCUGGAACGCGUAGGCCAGCGCCGGGAGCGACAGGAACCCGAUGGUGAAGCAGAAGAACCCGGCCACGCACACCGUGUCACGCCACCGUUUCCCCACGAGCUCCGUGGAGAGCACCAGCGUGCAGGUGCCCACCAUGGACCUGCCGAACCCGGACACGAACCGCAGCGCCGCGUACACCCACACGUUGGGCGAGAACGCCGUGAGCACGCCGGCCACGGACAUGGACACGAUGGACGCCAGCAGCAUCCGCCUGCGGCCCAGGAGCGAGUCGGCGAGCGUGGUCAGCAGGAAGCCUCCCGCGAGGCAGCCCGCGAAGAAGGAGGACGCCGGGAGGGACACGAGCGCCGGGCCGCCGGCGCACUUGAGCGACCACUCGGACACCACGGACGCCGAUGCCGGCCGGUCCCACGCCCACGCGCCGGCCGGGAGCGCGCACGGAGAGGCCGCGCAGGACGCGCCCUCGGCGCCCGUGCAGUGCCACCCCGGCUCGGCGUCCGUGAAGACCGAGAUGAACACCUGCUGCGCGUCGAAUGCCCACGCGAAGGCCAGCAGCACGGCCUUGAGGAGCUGCGCGGCGCCCGUGGCGCCCAUGUACGUCUCGAUGGUGUCAUCGAUGGACGGCGCCUUAUUCUUCUUAUUCCCCGCCGGCUUGCCGGCCUUGUGGCUCGUCAGGAGCGGGGCGGUGGCCGUGUCAGCUGCCAUUGGCGCAAGUGCGGUCGGUUGCCUGUGUUCUCUCCGGCUGCUCACAAAGCCUGAGUGGGGAACGAUGCGAGCUACCGAGGGUAUUUAUACGCGCGCGCCCAAGUGUAGGCGCGGCAUCGUGUACGUCAACGGCGCAGCUGCUCCACCAAAAUUUCAACGCACAGGAUCAGUUGGUACGAUCAAUUGGGGUAUCCAUCGACGCGCUGAAUUAUUAAUGAUGUCCAGUCAGCAUAUUGAUUAGCAUCCAUGUUAGCAGCACUCUGGAUGAAUGGACCUGAUGGUCCACGUAAGCGACAACCCAUACACAAGUAUAAUCAGCAAUCUUCUACUCCACGUACGUACUAUAUAUAUGCUCCAGCUGCCGCCAUCACGUGGAAUCCUGUCAUGACUCAUGAUAUAUGUAUAUCCUACCUUAAUCUGAUUUUCUAAUAGAGGCUCUUUUCGAGUUCCCAUAUUAAUCCUAGAAAGCGUUUCUUUGUAUUUACGUAAACUGUUGCUGGACAGUUGGAUCUUAAAUAUGCGGCGGCGAUAAAAUAUUCUUGUCUAGCAGAUCGAGGCACGUAAGCGGAAGAAUAAUUGAAGUUGAUCUAAAGAAUAAUUGAAGUUCAAAAAAUAACGGAAAAAGAAUUGUAUUCUGAUGAGCAGAAUCCGUGAAGGAGACGCACGUAUAAUGGUAUGUGUACGGGCAAUUGGCAUAUCACAACGUGACAAGGUCAAGCACGUGUACGUACUAGGCGAGCACUUGUUUUUAACUUAUACGUAACGUAAUACCUAACCUAAACCAAGGCAGCAUAUGCAUACCAAUGGAAAUAAGGGUUAUCCGGAUAAGAACCUGACAAUUCAGUCCUGACAAUUUUUUCACUGAAGUGCAUCUUCUAUCGUUUGCUGCUUGUUUCAAGGUAAUUUUAGGUAACUUACAGUUCAGGGCGAAUUAGGAUGCCGGUCGGCUUGUGCACUGACAUUCCGGUCCACUUCUUUCCCUUUCGGUGCCAUUAGGAUCCAACUGGUGAUGCAUUGCUUACCUCUCAAGUUGGAUCGAAUCGUUGAUGUAUGUUAUCAGAGCAGAAUUUUUCCACUGAAUGGAUUAUCGUUUGCCGAUACUGAAGAUUUAAAUUUACCGGAGACAGUCAACUAAAGAGUUAUGCAAUUUAAGCACCCAAGUUGAACUCAUUUAUGCUCCUGAAGAGGAGAUUUGGUCUGAUGUAUGAUUCUCAUUCUUGUAUUUACCUCUUGUUUGGCCAUAUUGUUUCAUCCUUUUGGGACUUUUGCUCAUCAUCUUUGGCGGUUGACACAUUGGGAUUUAAAGUACUUAGAAAAAAUAUUGUUGAAUGCCUCUUACAUUAGUUAUUAUACAAAUCAAGUGCUCUGAUCAGGUUUUGUUAUGAGAUAUUACAAAAAUUGUGCAAGUUGAUUGUGUGAUUGAAUUACACGUGCAACACGAUUACUAUCCAGAAAAGAGAGUAAUCUCACUUCUGAGCUUGUUCUGAAAUGAGAUUAACACACUUGAUACAAAAAACAUCUUUGGCAUGACGGCAUGAAGACCCUAAUUCGAAUUUGAUAUACACCAACUUUAAAGUAGUCAUGUACGUUGCUGGAAUGAAAUAAAAUGUGUGUGGAUCAUACGUGGCACACGCAAGCUUACAGCUGCACAACGACAACUAUUUAAAUGUUCAACGAAAAAAAGCAAUAACAAUAAUUUAAAGAUAAAUUAAAUUCAAAAUACAUAUUUAACGUUUUAGGACGUGCGUGCACGUGCACACUUACUAGUCCGGAUAAGAAGCUGUACUACAGGACAGAGACAGCGCUUGACUUACUGUGGGGUUGACAAAUUAAUUUAGAAGUAUAUCAAAUAUUCUAGAACUCCAAGCUCCUUAGAGCCCUAUUUUUUAAUUAAAAUAAUAUUUAUUAAGUUUUAUAAAAUUCUGAAAAAUUUAGAUGUACAUACGAGAUUGUGCACAACUCACCUAAUUUAAUUCAGAGAACAUUUUAUUUGCGCGCUACAAAAAAUGCAUCUAUAGUAAAAAGUACUCUCGAUAUUAUAAUUCACGAAUUCAUUUCUUAGACCACAUGUGAAUGCAUUUCUUCAUUAAAUAUUACACAUACAUAGAAUAGAUCUAAGUAUACAUGUAUAGUUUUCAGAAUUUUUUAAAAAGUUAUAAUAUUUUUAUUUCCUUUUGAAAAAAAUGUGCUCCAAAGGGCCUGAGCUCUAAAACGCCGCACUCAUCAAAUAACGAAUUGUAUUUUCUUUGCAAAUUCUAUAUAUAGACAUGACUACGCGUGUAUUAAACCACUUAUAGAAACAUAAACAUGUUACUGGAGAACGAAGAUUAUGGAUUUCAAUGAAAGACUUAUUUGUCGCCAAAAGGAGGUCCUAUAUAUGGAGAACACAUGUACAUGCACAUGGGCAUGGAGCCCCGUUAAAUCAACUGGCUUGUGGAAUCUAACAAUGUAUGGAAGGAUUUUAGCUUUACAACUCAGCUCCACACGCUCGCGUUGUGUUCAAACUUUGCGCAUCCGGCACAACCCAUAAGCAGAGAGCCCAUUCUCAUCCUCCUAGGAAGCCCCCCAGGCAGGUAUGACCUUCCAGAAAAAAAGGCAGGUAUGAGGAUGCUGGUCCUGAUACCAUUUGUUAGCGUCCUAGGCCUAACUCCACACCCUCGUGUCUUGUUUAGGCGUUUAUGCGCAUCCGGCACAUCCCUCAAACAGAGAGUCAUUUCCAUCCCAAAAGUCCGGUCCAAUGGAAGGAUGACCACUAUCCUUUAUAAGCUGCCCGUAGCCCCUUCCAUUUGCAAGGUGGGACUAAAGUCACUGGCAACGCUUAGUACCGUAACAAAGGCAUAUCUAGACAUCUUUAUAUAUCAACAUUUCUCCACUUUUGCUUCAAACAAAAUCAUUACUCCACAUUCUUUUAGAUCAAUAUUACUCCUUGGAUAGAAGUUAUAAAUAUUUCCAAGUAACUCCUUUGUAUUUAGCACCUCGCUUCCGUCUCAUCCUAGAUGUUGUUCAAUCAAUGUAUAGUACAUAGACAAUUUGGUUCAUAGUGCAACGGUUAUAUGAUUCUAUUUUCAGUUUAAUUUGAUUAAAUAUAUUAGGUUAUGACAAGCCAGAUGUAUGUUUUAGAUACCAUGCAUGAGUAAUGUAUGCACGCAUUGGGCUGGGCAUUAUAUAUGUUGAAGCGUUGCCAGGAAUCGAGAAGAAAAAAAAUCUUCUCUUGUGUCUUAAAAAAACAUGCAUUUGGACACGCCGUGGUUGGCGUGGUACAUGAAACCGUGCAUAAAAGCAAGCUGGUUUCCCUAAACCUUUGGCCACGGCCGACGUGAGUGGCAAAAUAGAAGUUGAAUGAAUCGGCAGAUCGAUCUCGCGGAAGGAUCGCUACUGCAAGACUCCAAAACGUCACCUUAUGCGUGACUGUAUCCGUAUCAACACGCAUUAUUAUAUAGCACCGUCGCGCGAUCGUCGUUAAUUAGAACGUACACACUAUCAGCUAGGAGUAACUAAUAGCUGGAGUUCGGAUUUAUAUACCCGUACUACGCACGCAGCUUCCCUUUAUCAUUCUUUAAGAUCCUGGCUAGAGAGGAAAUUACACUGCGGGUACACGAACUUGGAAGCGAUGUUCAGUUUCAUCCAUUAAUUUGAAAACCUCUCAAAUGACUCGCUAAACUUGACAGCUUUGCUCAUUUUAGUCCAAAUGGUCAGAUUCGGACGAAAUUCGGUCACGAUGGCAUGCGACGUGGAUCUGACCGUUCAAGUAGCCACCGCCGAACCCAUCGACGAAGCCAUUCGCUUGGACACCGUGUAUGCCGGGCCGAAGUGGGUUCACCGGCGAGGGCAGCGUCUCCCCAUUCUGGAGAUUCGAGGGGGUUAAACAGAAAAGGUUCAUAACCAGAAAAUUGUGAAAAGCCCCCUUAGACGCCGGCCAGGUCCACGACACAUGCCAGCGUGGCCGAAUUUCAUCUGAUUUUGGCCAGUUGGAUUAAAAUGAACAAAGCUACCAAGUUUAGUGAGUCAUUUGAACAGUUUUCAAGUUAAUAGAUGAAACUGAACAUCGCUGCCAAGUUCAUGGACCUGCGGUGUAAUUUCCUCUCCUAGCUAACUACACGUCCCACAGUGACCCAAUUUGUAAUGUACGUUCUUUUCACGAAGAUGUUUGGCAUCCAGGUUUGCACUGAAACAACGACAAGAAUUUCGAUCGGGAGGAAAUAUAUCUAGUAUAAUUUUUAAAUUAAUUUUAUAAAAUUUGUCAUGAUAUAUAUCUAUGGUGGUUUAUCCGGUAUGGUGCAAACCAUCGUUACAGUGCAAAACAAACUCCAUAGAAAAAAUCUCAAGAAAAUUAUACUCGUUCCGUCUCAAAUUUGCUCCAAAAUGAAUGUAUCUAUUCCUAAAAAACGUCUAAAUACAUGCAAUUUUUCGACGAGAAUUAUGGGACAGAGGGAGUAUAUAUUAGAGAAGUGAUGUUUUAUAGUAUAUGUAUAAAAUUUAAAGUCAAUUGUGUUUCAAACUCAAUUGUGUUUGGUACGUACAUACCCCCUCUCUACGUACUUGCGUACCCUGGCAACAUGCAUAUAUGUACGCUCUUGAUCGGAAAAUGAUGGCGACGAAGCAUCGCUCACGCACGUAUUACGUAGCUGGUAUUUUUAAUUGGAUCAUUGGGUGUGCAAAGACUACCGAGCACAUUGAGAGCACGCAUGUGUGCUCUGCGAAAUGUGCCGUGCCGGCGUGCAUUUCGCAGAGCACACAACUUGCCCGGAACGACCGAGACUGGUGCGCGGCAGAACGAUAUACUACCGCCGUGGAAACUUAAUGUCCUCUCAUUGGUCUAGAACCAGUUGCCGUCGUGAAACAGAGCAAUGCUGAUAAGAUGAGAAGUAGCUCCGGCCAGCCAUUCUUUGCGAGGGCAUAUAAAUUAUUGGAUCAACAAGUUGGCUAGCGAGAGGCCGGCCGGUAUUAUGAUCCCACUAGCAAGGAGCUAGCUGAAACACACACAUCGGAUCGAUUGCAUGCGUCAAAACACAACCACCGAACCGAUACCAACCAACCCGCAGGCUGGACUGUACCGUGGAUGCCGCGGUUUUCUGACGUGGUGCCGACGAGCCUCCAACUCAGCCCAUAUGAUGAUAUGAUAUGGCUGUGCGCAAGCUAACCUACCCACGUCGAAGGAUGGCCUCACGUGUCACGUACGGUGGCUUGGCGCGACCCGCGCCGCUAGCUUUUCCUUCGUAAUUCGCCCCCAGAUUCCUUCGGUUGUUGCUGGGGCCUGGUCCUUUGUGUCACCCCGUCAGCGCCAAGGCGGCUGAUGCGCGCUCUCCUACUGAGCGAUCGAGCUAGCUGAGCGGCCUGUGCUCCAGCCGGGUAUUAAAACUGGAUCGCUACCCAAUGGCGUCCGCGCCGGCCUCCCGAUCGGGCACUUUCAAGGAUUGGUACGGCCGAGCGAUUUCCCUGAUCCCCUGCAUUGUGCCGCGCGAACAGUACUCUAGAGUCUAGACCGGCCGGGUCCAGCAAAGGAUUGUUUUGUUGUUUUUCGCUCCGGACCAUGGUGCAUGGCUCAUGGCUGGCCGGGCACUCGAGCCAGACAGCCCAUUUUACCCUGUUUCGACUUUCCCGGACGAACACCUGCAGACCCAUGCCAUCGGGGUGCAUCCCAUCCACCGUUCGCACGUAACGUCAUGUCGCCUCGUCAAUCGAACGAAGGUUGGUCUGGGGUUGAUGAUUGGACAAUGCAUGCGUUUUGCAUGCGCGGUCAAUCGCCAGAGCCCAGAACGGUUUUGCUAUCUCGUCUUCCAUGUCUCGUUCUCGCGGCAGGGAUAGGAGUCAGGAAGAGCAAGAGAACGGAGUUACGGGGUCUCUGGCGGGACGCUGACUCAUGGUACGGUUAAGGCAGGGGGUCGCGUGAUGGCUCGUUGUAUAGCGCAUUGUAUAGUUACCUGGAAUCGUGUGUUUCUGGAACGGGAGAGAGAUUGACGAAUUGCUUCAUUGCUUGCUUCUCCGCCGACGGGCCGCUUUCCAGACGAGCUAGUUUGUCUGCUUACUUUGUUUGUUGUUGGCAUGCACGUGCUUCUCUCGAAUAUACUCGCUCCUCCAUCUGCUAGCCUCGCCUCGCAAUAGUACUGGAAGAUGUAUCAUUCGGCUUGUCCUAACCUCAAGAGGUUUGGCCCGUUGCGUCACGAAAGCACCGAAUGAGUGGUCCACGUUUGCUUCUUGCAACUAUUAGUUUAUUUAUCGGUUUUGAUAUAUCUAAGUUGUCUAUUUUUAGCUAGUGAUAAGUUCAUUUUUCAGCUGUUAGAUAUGAUUUGUGCUUUAAAAGUCGAAACAAAUGAUAGAAAAACAAAGAGUAAAUAAAAACAUACUAUGAUGUAGACAAUUCGAGGUGGACCUAACACACUACGAGAGGGCCUAUUCACCUAUACCAACUACUUUGGUGUAGUUGAUUAGUCCUUUUUUAUUUCUACUUACUUAGUGCAAGCUUCCGGGCGGCAGAGCCACUCACGUUAAAGCAAGUCUUGAAUCCGGGCGGCUAUGCCACUCACGUUGAAACAAGACCGUUGUGAUUCCGGGCGAAUCCGCUCACGUUAAAUCACAACUUAUAUGCACUAAGUACUUAGAAAUAAUAAGGCCUAACCGGGAGACUUAUAUGAACAAAGUAGUACUAUAUUGCUUUAGGAAUAUUAGUACAAGAGAGAGCAUACACACUUUACACUUGCUCACACCUUGUUCUCCACCUUCUUCACUUCUUUAUUCUCUACUACACAAGGUGUGAGGCAAGGGCCUCUAUUUAUAGGACUACAUGGCCAUUGGAUCUUUGACAUGUGUCAAAAUCUUAACCAUUGAUACAAAAUAUCUAAAGCCUUCCACACACUUCUACAUAAAUAUCUAGAUACUACAAGGUUUCCUAUUUAUUUAUUUUAAACUCCUAUUCUAGAGUAUUCCAAAGCUUCUUCAUGCAUAUCUAAACACUAGAAGGUUCCCUUUUUUAUUUAUUUUAUAUUCUAGAGUAUUCCAUAGUAAUGUCUUCUUUCUUGUAAUAUUGAGAACACUCUAGAAGCUUGCAUUGUAUUCUCCAACAUAUGAUAUCAAAGUUGUAUAUAGUGAAAUUAUAUUUGAAGACUAUCUAGUGAUACUAACUUGAUGUCAUAAAUGUUGCUACGUUUUUUUUAAAAGUUGGUCAAACUUUAAAUUUUUUGACUUAGGACAAAGACAAAUGUACAAUUAUUCGUGGACAAGGAUAGUAUUACUGGACCAAGCAUUAUCUUCUUUUUUAGAGGUGGGGCAAGCAUUAUCGUGCAAGGCCUUUCUUUUUCUAUUUUUCUUUUUAGGACUAGAAAAUCAGGCUGGAUAUUAGAUUUAGGCAUGAAUGCUUUGGGGAUUAUGGGCCUUGGCUAGCAUUAGGCAUUCAGCCUACGACGAACCACGGCCAGCGACACCUAUGGAGGCCUGGGCUUUAUACUCGUCCAGGGUAGCCAAAUUGUGGAACCCAGGAAAGGGCCCCCGUUAGGCCUCGAGUGAACAGACCUGGACUCCUCAGCCGGUCCCAUGCGUCAACGAAUCGCAGGCCAGAGGCCACCUCGCUGACGAGUUGCCACGCGGGCCGCGAAGGGUAAUAGAGGCGACGGCGCGGCAUCUUGAAGAUUGGCGUCGGCGGGGGGAGGUAACGGCGGCGGCGCGGCGUGGAGUUCCUCGCGCUCGUCCCCAUCCAUAUGUGCGGCGCCCACCGGCGUCAAACAUAAGGUAAACUUGAUGAUAUGGGGAAAAAAAUGCUCAUUAGAUCGGCUAAAUCCCACUGCUCCCACCCUUCUAACAUAUGCUAAUCUGAAACAUGACAGACCCAAAGCCCACCGUGCUAAGCUUAAAACGAACGAAUCAUUGAACAUGAACAUGGGUAAAACGUAAUUAAACGUGUUCAUUUAGAAUUAAUGUUAUUCGGGUUUAAUUACUGACAGUUGGCACUAAUCCGAAGGGUACGAAAAUCAUUUAUGGCCUUAACGUAGUGCUACCUGACAUUACCAAACCAUGUUUCAUUAUCAAUUAGCACUACCACAAUCUGAAUUGAUCCUUAACUGACCAAUCAGGUCUAGUUAGGUAACAGUAACAAAACAUGAUUGAGGCCCUAUAAGCAUCAUUACUUAGUACUAACAAAAAAGGAUUAAGCAAGAAUCUUUAUUAACAGUAGGUUAUUAGUUAGGCUAACUCAUGAACAAAACAACAUGAACUGUAAAGUAGUUAUCCCAACAAAAGCAAUUAGGGUCCUAAAGUAGGCUAAAAGGCUCUGAUACCGAUGUUGACUUUACUAACAUAAAACAUAAUCCAGACACGUAAAGUUGUGAUUUUCUGCAAGAAGGCACAAUUACCCAGUGCAAGAAGGCACUUCCCUGACUUACAAUGCCUGAUGACGGACGUGGAUUUAUGGCUCUCGAGACUCAGGACUCACGGUAUCUCUCCCCGUUCAAUCACUUCGAUCCGUGUGAGAUUUCCCUGGAAGCCCGGAGCUUUUUGGCCCAGUAUUCGGUAUGAAACAGUGCCGAAUACUAGGCCGUCCAGGUUUUCGGUUAUGGGAAAGUUUGAAUUUCCUACCUGGACCACAGGAAGGAAGGCUAGGGUUAGUGGGCCGGCACAAGAGAUGACGUCAUUCAUGGGCUAGUUCGAAAGUCCUGUUCCAUUCCAAAUUUUCCAAGCCUGGUCCAUCUCUUCUUAGGCUGCUCACAUUUCGUCAGGAGAGGUAUCUAGGCCAUUCGCAAAAAAAAGAAAAAACAAAUGGCUGGUGCCGACGAAUCGUUUCCCAAUGGCGAUGAGUCUAGCGGCGGCUGGAGGAACGGGGAGACUCAUAUGGCCAGUGGAGAAGCUGAUUCGUGGUUCCCGAUGGCGAACCCGGAGGAUUUCGACAUUUUUGGGUGAGUUCUUCUUUCACCGAUCUGUUUUUUCUGAGGGGCGAUGUUCGGCGAGUUCUUGAGCGGGAUUUAUUUGCUGAAGAGAUCGUUCCGUUUCCUUAGAUCAAGUGUAUGCAACGGUGAUUCUCAGCGGAAUUUCGUGGAAGGCGUUGUUGAUGAUCCAGUUGAUGAACUAUCCAAGGAGCCGGACGGAGGUUCGGGCCUUUGCGGCGAAGGGGGAAAAAGCGCAGAUACACGCCUGAAGGUUCUGAUACUCCAGCAGCUAUGUCUGAUGGUUGGAUUAAAAAGUACUGCCGUUUAAAAUCUGUUGCUUUUCGGCCGUUUUACAUUACAGUUUGAAGUUUGCUGGCACUUCGUCUUGCCAGUUUCCUGACUACUAUUUUCAAUCGUCAGAGUGCGCGUGACUGAUUCCACGGAAGAAAGAAAAACAAAUCCUGAGAAACCGUCUGCCUAGUUUCUCAAAAGAAACGGUCUGCCUUGGAGAGCACAAUUCGCAGCUAUGUAGAGAAUAGCUGAAUAGGCGUCCAAUGGUUGUGGAUCCUGCAACUGGUACCUCGUUCGAUUCUCUGGACGAGGCGUACAGUUUCCACGAGAGUAGGAGGGAUCCGGAUAGGUGAUGGAUCCUGGCAGAAUGCACCAGCAGAGAGCAGGGAAGGUGUUUGUGGAAAGGUUGGCCAUGUGUGUUUUGUUUUUUUGUUUGCAUGUUUUCCUAAUCAGAAUGAUCACGCUAAUGACAAUUAAAAAUAAUAAUGUUUGUAAAACGGAGAAAGGAGCUUGAUGAUGAGUACACCAGUGGGAUCAUAAGAGUGAAUGCAAAGCUGGACAGUGAGGAAGCCCAAUUAGAGGCAGAGGAACUGCAGAAAUUGGAUCUUUUGAAGGAAGAAAUUUUAAGAAAUCUAAGAUUCGGUCAUGAGACGAGAGACGAGACGUUCGAAGUUGUUAGGUGAUCUGAAGACAAAAUAUGAUGCUGGGAGUCAGGCCUCGUUUCAUCUGAGAGGAUCAUUGAGCGGAUAGGUGAAAGACAAUGGAUCAUAAUAUUUUUUUGUGACGGAAUUUUAUCGUGAAACCUUUAUUGUGGGCUAUGUUAGAUGGAGAUUUCAGUUUAUCUGUUGAUUGAAGAAUGUUUUGUUUGCAGCAACUUGAGAGCUAAAACUAUUUUUGCUUAUGGUGAAAAAUCGUCAAGUGUAUCGUGAUAUUUUGUCAUAAUUUGAUGGUGUAUCUAUCUUUUACUUGGCAAUCCAAUCUUGUUUUUAUUGAUUAACCAAUACGAAUGUUAAUUGACAUGCGUCGCGGCAAUGACAUAUGAAAAUAAUGUAAUGUUUCCGCCUUGGUGACGCAGGCGAUCCUUCUCCGCCGAGCCACCAAAACAAAGAGUGCUUGGGGGCAGACAUGUGGGCGUGACAUGGUUGAUGCUGCUAGCUGCGAGAUUGAGUGUGUGGGUGAAUGGCCAAAUGGGAUAGGGUAGAAGUAUAAAUAAAGAAGUGGACUAGUAAAAUCAGCGGUGCAGCUUCGGCGGUACGGGAAAACCAAACCAUGAAAUCUCCCAAACAUCGACACCUGGGGGGCACGUGUGUUGCUGGCGGCGCCAUGAGUCAAAGGGACGUUUUUUAUUUCUAAAACAGUGGUAAAUAAUAACGGCCACGUCGGCCAGGACAAUGCAGAAAAUAAAAUGUUUUUCCUUAUCGUGCAAAAUCAUACAACACUUUCUCUGGUAGCAGUUGCGAAAAAUACGUUACUGUUUUCUAGAAGAAGAAAAUAAAAUCCAUUAGUAUUCUGAAAAAGGACAUCGACUAGCUGUAUUGUAAAGGUAUUAAAAAUAAAAACUUUUGUCGCAUGGGUAUGGCCCAUGUAUCUCAUGUUCCUGGGUUGAAAAAUAAAAUGAAUUUCGGUAGAGAAAAUUUCUACGACUCAAGCCCACGUAUCUCAUGUACCGGAUUGAAUUUCAGUGCAGACAACUUGGUCUAGCACGAACAGUAGACUUUCCAAUCAACCUGGGCCAGAACAGAUCCAUGUCCUGUAUCAAUUUGAAAAUAGGACCGGGCUACACCAUAAACAGAAAAAAGAAAAGACAAAAACUAAAGUCCACUGGUGGAACCUGAGCUGACAAGGACCAAAAAGGAGGAAGCAAUGUCAAUGGGCUCGCGGAAAUACCGGGCUGUACGGUACAGAUGUGGUAUUGUAUUAAUAUGGACCGGCCCAGGAUAGCCAUGGGAUGGGAAAAUAGAUGGACAAGAUAUCAAGAGCCCUGAGUCUCGAGAGCCAUUAUGAAUUUUCGCCUGAUGACUUACUGUCGUUGGAGAUUGCCAUCUGUUAGAUGACUUGCUGUGAUCCCGUCACCCACCUCCCCACGCUCUCUACAGACCGUGUGUUACACCUGCAGUUAUCAUCUGUAAUCUAUAUAUACUUCAUGCAUUGUACUCGGUUAAUGCAAUACAAGCAGUUCCUCUUCACAAAUUAUCAUGGUAUCAGAGCGAUAAGCUACAUUUUUCCGCUUCCGCAACUAUGACCGGAGCUCCGCCGGCCCGCCCGGCCGCUCCUCCUGCCACCGGCGCUGCUGCUACUGCCGCCGGAACCACCACCUCCUCCACCACCACAAACCCAUCACCUACCCUCCUCUCCCUUGCCUCCAUCGUAGACACCGUAGCCGAUGUCACCCCAUUUGUCCCCAUCGUGCUUGAUCUGCCGGCGCACAACUUCUACCACUGGCCGCCACCUCUUCGUUGUUCAUCUCGGGCGCUGCACUCUCCGGCACCAUGUCGAGGACGACGCUCCGCCCCGCCUCGACGACCCGACCUGGGUCAAGAACGACCACGCCAUUCUUCAGUGGAUAUACCAGCACAUCUCCACCGAGCUGUUCCACUUGGUGGUUCGCGACGGCGCGACGGCACGCGACGUCUGGACUGCUCUUCGUCUCUUGUUUCAGGAUAACAGGGACGCGCACAUCACGCAGCUGCACACGGAGCUUCGGACUUUGACUCAGGGCGACGCGACGGCAAGUGGCUACUGCCAGCGCGUGAAGGCAAUUCGCGACGAACUGCAGGAACUCGACAGCCGCGUCGAUGACCGCGGCCUCGUCCACGCUCUCAUGAACGGGCUGAGCGAGCGCUACGAACGCAUCUCCACGCUGAUUCCUCUGCUCCGGCCGUUCCCGACCUUCGCCGAGGUGCGAUCCAUGCUGCAGCUCGAAGAUCUGAACCAGGCGCGCAAGGCCAAGCACCCGCAGGCGUUCUACUCCAACUCCUCUGGCGCACACGGCAGCGGUUCCUCGUCUGGGCAUGGCUCCACCAACCAACCGCCUCCUGCUCCUCCGGCUUCAUCAUCAACUUGGCCGCCGGGUGUCAGCCCCAACUACAAGGGCAAGAACCCCAUUCCCGGCUACCAACCGUCGACGAGCCGCUCCACGGCACCGCGCGCUCCUGCACCAACUCAAGCGGCGCCCACUGCACCAGCUGCAGCGCCUCCAACGCCCUCGGCAUGGCGCCCAACUCUGCAGCAAGAUCCCUGGACUGGAGUUGUCCCGGCCUGGCCGUUCCCAUGGACGACCCCCGUUGCUCCCUGGAUGCCAAGCAUGCGCCCCGCUCAUGGCGCCCCAGGACUGCUCGGGCCGUGGCCUCCUCCACAGGCCUACACUAGCUUCACCUCCAUGUACCAGGGACCUGCUCCACCACCUGCGGUCGCGCCCGUCUUCGUGCCUGCACCACAUACGGCUUCAUCAGCACCCACAGCACCAACGGCAACAUCUGCACCGCCCCAGUACUGGAACCAGGCGGUAACAUCAGCACCCACAGCACCAACGGCUUCAUCAUGUUUCCAUGGAAUUUGAUCAUUUUGGUCUGUCUGUGAAGGACCUUCAAACCAAGGAGGAGAUCGCUCGCUUCAGUAGCAAGGGUGACCUCUACUCCCUCCAUGGCACUCCAACUCCUACCGCCCGUGUCGCCAUGACCGCUUCCGUUGAUCUGUGGCAUCGUCGACUAGGACAUCCCAAUAGUGCCAUUGUAUCUAGUUUACUUUGUGAAUUUUCAAUUCCUUGUACCUCCUCUCCUCACAACUCUAGUUUGUGUGAGGCUUGUCAACAAGGAAAGCAUGUUAGUUUCUAGUUCUGUUACUUCUACUUGUCAUCCAUUCGAACUACUCCACUGUGAUAUAUGGACGUCCCCUAUACCUAGUGUUUCUGGCUUGAAGUUUUACCUUGUUGUCUUGGAUGAUUUUACCCAUUAUGUCUGGACAUUUCCUCUUCAGUCCAAAGCUGAUGUUCCUCAACUUUUUCUGAACUUUAACACUUACGUUCACACACACUUCUCUCUCCCCAUCAAAUACAUUCAGUGCGACAACGGACGUGAAUUUGCCAACAACAAGAAUCGAGCCUUCUUUCUCUCCCACGUCAUUCUUCCACGUUUCUCCUGUCCUUACACCUCUCCCCAGAACGGCAAAGCUGAACGCUGUCUUAGAACCAUCAAUGACAUUAUGCGUACUCUUCUCAUCCAAGCCUCCUCCGUGCUACUGGGCUGAAGCUCUUCGCACUGCCACCUACCUCCUGAACAUACGACCUACUAAAUCUUGUCCCUUUUUCACCCCUUACCAGUCCAUCUUCUUCUGAUCCCCAAACUAUUCAGAACUAAAAGUCUUUGGUUGUUUAUGCUUCCCCAACCUCACUGCUACUACAACUAACAAGCUAGAACCGCGAUCCACACCACGUGUGUUUCUUGGUUACUCCGAUGAACACAAAGGAUACCGCUGCCUAGAUCCCUCUUCUGGCCGCGUCAUCAUUUCUCGUCAUGUUACCUUUGACGAGUCCUACUUCCCUUUUGCACGACGUGCAUCGAGCUCCACUACCAGCCCUUCCCCCACCCAAACCCCACAUCCACCUGUCUUCGUGCAGACCUCUGCCGCGCCAGCCCCAACCUCUGCCGCGGCAACCCCCACGGCAGUCCAGCUACCUCCCCAGCGUCUAAUGCUUCCUCUACAACUCCCAGCUCAACAUCUCCAUCUAUUCUACCACCUAAUCCUCAUGCUGUCCCAGGUCCUCCUCCCCAAAAUGAACAUCGCAUGCAAACUAGAGCCAAACGUGGUUUCAGUAUUCCUCAACGUCGCUGGAAUCUCAACGCCACAACCAUUUCCCCUCUUCCCACCUCCUACAAGUCAGCCCUCCUCGACACCAACUGGAAACUUGCCAUGCGUGAUGAGUUUGACGCUCUUCUAGCCAAUAACACCUGGGAUCUUGUGCCUAAACCCUCUGGUGCAAACAUUGUUUCCGGCAAGUGGGUAUUUCGCCACAAAUUUCACUCUGAUGGUUCUCUCUCUCGCUACAAGGCACGCUGAGUCUGUCGCGGCUUUUCCCAGCAACGCGGCAUUGACUUUGAUGAAACUUUCUCUCCCGUCGUUAAGCCAAGCACCAUUCGCACUGUGCUGAGCAUAGCCACCUCUUCCGCCUGGCCUAUACAUCAAUUAGAUGUCAAAAACGCCUUCCUCCAUGGUUCCUUGCAUGAGACUGUCCAUUGCCAGCAGCCCCAGGGCUUUGAAGAUCCAACUAAACCACAUCAUGUAUGUCUCCUACGUAAAUCCCUUUAUGGCCUCAAACAAGCUUCUCGGGCUUGGUUCACUAGAUUCUCUUCUUUUCUUCUAACUCUUGGUUUCACUUCUUCACAGUCCGACACUUCUCUCUUUAUUCUUCACUCUUCUACCCACACUGCAUAUCUACUUCUCUAUGUCGACGACAUUAUUCUCACUGCCUCAUCUGAUUUCUUUCUAUAGUCCAUCAUCUCUUCCCUCCGUACAGAAUUCUCCAUGACAGAUUUAGGUGAUCUCCAUCACUUCCUUGGCAUAGCUGUCACCAGGUCCUCUUCUGGCCUCUUUCUUUCUCAGCGUCAGUAUGCUGCUGAUCUUCUCUCCAAGGCCGGCAUGCAAGAUUGCCCCCCAUGUCGUACUCCAGCUGAACUAGGCACCAAGCUCUCUGCAGCCGGCGAACCAAUUCAUGAUCCUACCCACUACAGAAGCCUCACUGGCGCACUUCAGUACCUAACUCUCACUCGUCCUGACCUAGCCUACGCAGUCCAACAAGCUUGCCUUUACAUGCAUGAUCCUCAUCUUCCUCAUCUCAACCAUGUCAAACGAAUCCUUCACUACAUUAAGGGCACUCUAGACUUUGGUCUACACCUCAACACUUCUUCCCCGACAACUUUGACAGCAUACUCGGAUGCAGACUGGGCCGGUUGCCCUGACACUCGUCAAUCUACGUCAGGCUAUUGCGUUUACCUCGAUGACAACCUAAUUUCGUGGUGCUCUAAACGGCAAGUUACUGUUUCUCGUUCAUCUGCUGAAGCUGAGUACCGAGCUGUAGCACAUGCUGUAGCAGAAACUGUUUGGUUGCGGCAACUUCUUAAAGAGCUGCAUCGUCCUGUCGCCCAAGCAACAAUUGUAUAUUGUGACAAUGUCUCUGCUGUUUACUUGUCCUCCAAUCCAGUGCAGCACCGAAGAACCAAGCAUAUAGAGAUAGACAUACACUUCGUACGAGAGAAAGUAGCUUUGGUGAAGUGAUGGGUUUGUUGCAUGGAAAACAAAAAUUUUCCUACGAGAAGUGAGGAAGAAACCCAAGAUAAUAUCUACUAGAUGUAAGUAACGAGAGGAUUAUGAGCAUCAUACCCUCGUAGACCAUAAAGCGUUACGAUCACGGGAUCGUUGUUGGUGUAGUGGUACUUUCGAUGAGAUCGAUCUCAAUGCCGAGCGUACGGCACCUCCUUGGUAUCCACACGUACGGCUUGAUGUCGUCUCCUCCUUCUUGAUCCAGCAAGACGUGGAGGAGAGAUUGACGAGAUCCCGGCAGCACGACGGCGUAGUGUAGGAUAUGGUGGAGAGCUCCGCGGGCAGGGCUUCGCUGCGCACGGGAGAGAAGGAGAGGGGCUCAGGGGAGAGAGAUCCAGCUGAGGGCUUGGUGUGUCCUCUCCCCCUGCCCCUCACCUCUAUUUAUAUAGGGGGUGGUGGCCAGGGUUUGCCCCUCCUCCAAGAAGGGGCUAGGGCCGGCCAGGGGAGUCCCGGAAGGAUUUUUCCUUCUGCCCGGCCCCCCCACGUACGUGGAGUUCCAUCACGUGGUGGAGAGCUCCACCGAAGGCUUCCUUUCCCCCUAAUGGGACUGCUUAGGCCCAUUAGGGGACAAUUAAUUAGAUUUCUCUAAUUAAUUACUAAUUAAUUACUACAAAUGCCCAAUUAAAUUCUCAGGAAUAAUGCGGAACAUUUUAGAACCUUCCGAGAACUUCCGGAACCUUCUAAAAUAUUCUCGGUCAAUACCGGAAAAUAUCCUGAACUUUUCCGAAACCCUGAAACAGCUUUUCCAUAUAUAAAUCUUUAUCUCCGGACUAUUCUGAAGCUCCUCGUGAUGUCCUGGAUCCCAUCCGAGACUCCGAAUCAAUAUCCGAUAUCACCAUCUAUUAUCUCAUCGAACCCUAGCGACAUUAAGCGUUAAGUGUGUGACCCUACGGGCUCAAGAACAUGUGGACAUGACCGAGACACCUCUCCGAUCAAUAACCAAUAGCGGGACCUGGAUGUCCAUAAUGUUUCCCACAUAUUCCACGAAGAUCUCAUCGGUUGAACCACGAUGUCGAGGAUUCAAUUAAUCCGGUAUUCAAUUCCCUUUGUCUCGCGAUAUAUUACUUGUCCGAGAUUUGAUUGUCGGUAUCACCAUACCUAGUUCAAUCUCGUUACCGGCAAGUUCUCUUUACUCGUACCACAAUAUAAUAUCCCCGUGACUAAACACAUUAGUCACAUGCUUGCAAGCUCAUUAGGAUGUUAUAUUACUGAGAGGGCUCAGAGAUAUCUCUCCGUCACAUGGAGUGACAAAUCCCAGUCUUGAUCCAUACAACCCAACAAACACUUUCCGAGAUACCUGAAAAACACCUUUAUGAUCACCCAGUUACGAGAUGACGGUUGAUGUUCUCAAAGUAUGCUUCCGGUAUUAGGAAGUGGCAUGAUCUCAUGGUCUAAGGAAAUGAUACUUGACAUAAUAAAAAUAAUAGCAAUUUAAACUUAAGUGAUAGGAUCAAAAGUUAUGCUUAGGUUUGGGUCUGUCCAUCACAUCAUUCUUCUAAUGAUAUGACCUCGUUAAUAAAUGACAACACAUGUCUAUGAUUAGGAAACCUUAACCAUCUUUUAAUCAACGAGCUAAUAUAAUAGAAGCGUAUUAGGGACACGGUAUUUGUUUAUUUAUCCACACAUGUAUUUAGUUUCUUGUUAAUACAAUUAUAGCAUGGAUAAUAAACAUUUAUCAAGAACAAGGAAAUAUGAUAAUGACAUAUUUAUUAUUGUGUUUAGGGCAUAUUUCCAACAUGAAUUACGUGUUCUUCGUGUUCCAACCAGUGAGCAGUUUGCCGACAUCUUCACCAAGGGGCUCUCCACUGCCAGCUUCAUCAAUCUUCGCUCCAGUCUCAGCGUCGUCGAGCCUGCCGCUGCCACUGCGGGGUGUGUGUGUGUGUGUUAGAUGACUUGCUCUGAUCCCGUCGCCCACCUCCCCACGCUCUCUUCAGAUCACAGUUACACCUGCAAUUAUCAUCUGUAAUCUAUAUAUACUUCAUGCACUGUACUCGGUUAAUGCAAUACAAGCAGUUCCUCUUCACAAAUUAUCACCAUCUUUGUCCGAGUAUUUGAAGCAAGAGUGUGAGGAGGUUUGAAACUUUCCAAACACUCAUUUAAUUUCAUGUUGCAACAAUUUGGUGGCCAACUUAAAUAGAUUUCAGAGGCCAAAGAAACAUACCUUCUGAAUAGCACUCUAGUGACCUCCACUGCUGCAGAAAGAGCCAGACAUCGAUCCACAGUUUAACUAGUGAAGGAGCAAAGCAUCCAAAUUUUACUUAGCGAAGGUGCAUCAUACAAGUUCUUACUAGCGUUUAUAUAUGACUAGCCACUGGUAUACACAACCAAAAUAGAGUGAGCAGCAGUAAUAUAGAGUACUUAUUGGACAUGGCAGGAUAGGGCUAAUGCUAACUGAUCAGCACGGCAUCCUGACGAUGCUCAAGCGCAGAUGAAGCUUCUUGCCGUUCGUCCCAUGGAGCAUCGUCGGAACGACAGGCGCGAGGAGCCGGCUGCGCUUCAUGUCGAUCUCUCCAGGGACAGCGCAGCUCGAAACCUCAGCUUUCAGCCGGAAGCAGUCACUGAAGCGACCAGCGGGCGCCGGAGGGCCGUUCACCCAGAGCGUGCACACGUACAACGGCCUCGCGGCGUCGUCGUUUCCCCUGACGCACACAACCGUGACGGGGCAGAAAUCGUCGGCAGCGGUGCCCACGGCAAGGAGGAAGACGCGGCCGUCCUCCUCCGCGACCAGCAGGCGGCGGUUCGGCUCCGAUGGCGACGACGGCACGAGCAAGGCGAACGCGUAGCUCGUCUCGUACUUUAUCUUCACCACGGGCCAGCGAUGCCAGCCGGGGUCGUCCUCCGUGAGGUGGCGCGCGAGCCCUGCUCGAUCGCCCUCGAAGGCGCACCCUGGGUCGGGACAGCGGCAGGGCGCGUGCGCGCACCUGGCCGCGUGGUCCGGCGUCUCGUGGUAGGCGAUGGACCUCCCGCAGCCGAACUUGGCGUGGGGGCAUGGCACCUUGGUGUCGUCGACCAGGCCAUCCAUGCCGGAGCUGUGGACGAAGGAGGCAGCGCGGUGGCACGCGCCGCAGUACUUGUACUCGUUCGGACAUCCGCCGCCGCCGGCGGCGCAGGCAGAGCAGACGAAAUGUCUAUCCUCGCACUGCAAUAAACAUUCGAGAAUAGUUCGUACAUGAACCAAUACAUGCAUGCAUUUGUGUGAGUCGAUCGAUCAAUCAAUCAAUCUUUGAUUAUUUUCAAGCGGCUAUCGCGAAUCGGCAACAAAAGGUAUUAGUACUUACAGUGAAAAUGGGAGGCUUGAGAGGGGCAGAGCAGACGGCGCAGUCAAGCCACUUCUUCUUCACCGGCAAGAAGUCCUCCUCUUCCGCCGCCACCAUUGCCCCUGUCACUGCUUUUUUGUCACCUUCAAGCACCCUCCUUUCCGCUACCCCAGGUUUCACGAUGGCGGGUGGGGCAACGGACGGCGCCAUGACGGCGAGUGGACUAGGGGACGCCGGCGUACUGGCGACUGGACCGGGCGCCGCCGCCAGAGCCAAUGGCAUGGAGGCGAUUGGGCUCGACGCCGGCCCCUUAGGCGUCGUGCUAGACGCCUCCAUAGCUGGUGGCUUUGAGGCUAUUGGACUAGCCGCUGUCGGCGGUGGCGUCAAGGCAAAUGGGCUGGGCGCCACAAGCACUGGUGUCGUGGCUCCCGGACCAGCCGCGGCGAUGAUGAUCGCGCUCGCCUUCUUGCGGCUGCUGGCAUCGGCACCCUCCGGUUCCCGGGACCUCUUCUUUUGCUGGUCGGCCUGCUUCCUUUGCUCCGCCAUGGAUGAACUCAUGGACAAUCUAGCAGCCUCGUACUACUAGUAGUACAAGUAAAGUACGUGUUCCUAGUAGUCGAAGAAAUGGACACAAGAAGCUUGGAGCUGAGCAAGUCCACGUGUGCCUUUGGAGUGCUUCGGUUUGACCAUGGUCCAGUGGCGGCCUCGACUGUCGAGUGAUAACCGAGCACUACUCCUAGUUUAGGCUACUGUUCGUCUCGUGUGUGUAGGUGUUACUGAACACACAGCUCCCGCACAGUGACAAUCUGACAGAGGAACUCCUUUUAUUACCCGGUCCAUAGAAGGUACAAGUAGCAUCAGGCCGGUCAAUAGUUCAAUACACGCGUCCAUUCUUCUCAACCCCGGCCGUUCAGCUUCGGCACGAGUCGAGUGUGCGGCGAAGAGGAGGAGGCUUUUGCUUGUCUGGGCAAUUUGAGUGGAGACAGCUUAAACAAUAAAACAAAAAAAAUCCAUGUAAAAGGUGUAAACUGAAAAAAAGGUUUUUUUUUGACCUUACAAAUAAGAGCAACACCAGUGAAUAAGGUCACAUUUGCAAUAAGGUGUGACUCUUGUACUAGUCUUGUAGCUACCUAAAAAUUUCACAAUGGUUGUGACUAAAUUUGUCCUUGCAAGUGGUAAGACUUCAUGUGUACAUAAACUAUUAAAAAAUAAUAAAUUUUGCCUUAUGAGCUGCCCACAAGAUUAUAAGUUGCUCUUAAACUUUUGUGCUUGUGGACAACCUCUAUAAUUUAUAAAGCUAUUGUUAAGAUAGCACAUUGCGGGUGCCUAAGGAAGAACAAACAGGAACCUAUAUAAAAGGAUAAAGAAAGUUGCGAGGAAGAUGAAAAGGUGUAGCUACUCUUGAAUGCCAGCCGGUAGAUGAUCUACAGCGCACGUAAGGUAUAGGGGUCGUGUCCAUGGGCGGAGCUCCCGGUAGGGCGGGGUCGGGCGCUCGCCCUACCUUGAUUUUGGCCGAAAUGUUUUAUACAGGUCUGCAACUAUCGAUAGUUAUACUAAAUUGCGUAAAACCACCGCAUUUGAAACAGUUGUUGCGGAAAUCAUCGGUUUUGCUAAUUUUCGCGCAGAACCACCGCAAUUCAGUGAAGCUGUUGCACAUAGCACUGAUUCUGUUGUUUGGGACGUAUAAACGCGUUUCUGACCGAUCGGGCCCACAUGUCAGGUUGACCGGGCAGAACCUGGCGUUAGGGCCGUCCGUCAGCGUCAUCUCCUCUCCUCUCUCUAUUUAUCUCCUCGUGCUCUUCUUCGUCUUGCUCGUUGCCAAGCUCAUGAGCAACAAGGAGACUCGAGAGCUCGUCGCCAUGAAGCUCUCUCUUCCCUCCCUUUCUUUUCUUUGUCUCCGGCGAGCAGCUACGUGGAGUUGCCACAUACACGAGCUCCCUCCUCGACCUGAAUUUGGGCCGGUGAGCGCCUCGCCACUGGCACAAGAGGCAGCCGCCUCGAUUUGCUGCUGCCUGCCAGAAUUGGCCAUCACCCGCCUCGAUUCGCUGACGCCCUGCAGUGAAGAAGGCCUUCCGUGACCUCCUGCACCUCCCGCGAGGUACCAGACGGUUCUCCCGCGGCCUGGACCACAACUCCGGGUGGAGCUCCGGCGGGACGUCCUCCGGUGUUGUGGGCGCCGCCGCCGCCAACUCGUCCAUUCCUCAGCCCACUCGGCUCCCCAGUCUGCCACCUCGACCAGUAUCCAGCCGGAAUCAGGCGCAGGCGAGCAGCAGUUCAUGGUGACGCACGGGCAGGCGCAGGGCAGUGUGCGGGCGCGCACGGCGGAGCUCAGCACGCUGGCACGUUGGAUCGAGGGGAGGCGGGGGAGAUGCGUGCGCUCAGCGAGUAGCAGGUGCCAAAGCAGCAACAGUGGUCAGCGGCCAGCAAGCAGCAGCACAACAAGCAAGCAGGCAAACAGCAGCACAUGAAGCUGCAAGUAGUGGCCGGAAAGCAGCAGCACAUGCACCGCCGCCGGUUGCUUCUUCUAAAGGUGUGGUGCGUGGUCACCUGUCCUGCCGGCUGGUGAAGCCGCUGGCCCUGUCAAGCAUGCAAAUGAAGCCCACGCUGCCGGAGAUGCGCGAGAAGAUGAGUCCGGCUCGGUCUAAACGACGCUAACGGAUGGCGUCUACCCGGUCAACCUGACAUGUGGGCCCGGUAAGUCAGAAAUGCGUUUAUAUGGCCCAAACGACAUCAGUGCUAUGUGCAAUAACUUCACUGAAUUGCGGUGGUUCUGCGCGAAAAUUAGCAAAACCGGUGGUUUUCGUAACAACUGUCUCAAAUGUUGUGGUUCUGCGCAAUUAACUCAUUGUUAGAAGAUAAUCCGGCUGUUACCGUCAAAUGAGUAAGGAAAAAACGAAGGGAGUUGAGUUGUUGGGCCGUCCGUUCCUUCCUGGGCCAGUGGGCUGCGAACUGUCGAUGGGAUUGGCCGAUUGGGGAUCGGGGAAUCGUGGAAAAUACCGAUUCGUUCUCCCUGUGGCCUCGUACACCUCUUCUCUCCCUCUUUCUUUCUUCCCUCGACUCUGGCGGACGGCGGCGGCGUGGAAUUAGGGUUUUGGUCCGGUCGGCCGGUCGGUUGCCGGGUGCCGGAGCAGGCGGAGCUGGGCUGGAGCCUGGAGGCAGCGCUGCUCGGCGGGAUCUAUUCCUGCUUGGCUGCUUCUCGGCGUCGGCGGGACAGCGGCAAGCCGGCAGCGACGCAGCGCCCAGGCCCAGCAGCAAGGAGCAGGCGAGCCGCGAGCUGCGAGCAGGCUGACUGGCUGAGGCGCUGAGCAGCAAUGGACAAAGGGAAGGGGAAGGCAAAGGCAACGAAGAAGAAUGGUAUGCUAUGCGCCUAUCGGCCUAUGCUUGCUGCCUGCCUGCCUUGCUACUGUUAGUCACUUAGUCUGUUAGUACUUAUUGUGGACAUUUCUGAAUUGCAGACUUGACAUGAUAUUUUGUGUCACGUGAUAGUAGCUCUAAUGAUCCAAGCACACAUCGAAGUACAAAUGUCAGGGCUGAACAAGAGCAAGAGCAAAAAGUGGAAAAAGAGACGGAAAAUAUUGAAGAUUCAGUAGAAGCCAUUAUGGAAGGGCAUGCUGAGCAUGAUGUUGAGGUUUCAGAACAUGAAGAUGAAGGUACAAAUGUUUGUGGUUUAGAAUACAUAAAUUUUGAUCCAGGACUUCGCGUUCCAAUUGAUCAAUCUGCUCCCAAUAUUAGAGAUGAUGUUAGAUUUGCUCACCUAGAGAAGGGUCCAACUCAACCGACUAAGCACAAUUUCCUCCCAAAUAGAGAUAAUAGAUACUUUCGGCCACAAUGGUAUAAGGACUUUGAUUGGUUGGAAUUUAGUGUGGACAAUGGUAGGGCUUAUUGCUUCUAUUGUUAUCUUUUUAAACGUGACCGGAUGGAUGACAAAUUUGGUUAUGAUGUCUUCACCAAAGUGGGGUAUGACCAUUGGAAAAUGCGGUGGCAGCAUUCCGUAAGCAUGUUGGUGGGGCAUGUAGCAUCCAUAAUAUUUCAAGGACAUCAUGUGAAUAUUUUAAGAAUCAAAGGGCAAGUUUGAAAAGCAAAGUUAUAACUUAUACCAAAGAUUCACUAGCAAGGUAUGAAACUUGUGUAGAUACAUCUUUGGGCAUUGUAAGUUAUUUGUCAUUGCAAAGCGAACCAUUCGGUGGACACGAUGAAUCUUCUUCUUCUUUGAACAAGGGCAAUUUUUUGGAGAUGCUUGAUUGGUAUAAAGAAAGGAAUAGGGAUGUGAAGCUAGCAUUUGAUGAACUAUGUCCUGGAAAUGCCAAAAUGACUUCCCCGGAGAUUCAGAAAGAACUUGCCAAAUUUUGUGCACUCGGGGUCACCAAUUCAAUCAAAGAUGUAUGGUUAUCUUUUCUCUGUUCUUAUUGAUAAAUCUCAUGAUGUGUCGAUCAAAGAACAAAUGGCCGUGGUUGUGAGGUAUGUGUUGAAGUAUGUUAAGUACUUUCUUGUUUUACUUUUGUUAUGUGUAGUGUAUUUCAACUAAUUGUACCAUUUCUUGUAGGUAUGUAAACAAAAAGGGAGAGGUUGUGGAAAGAUUUUUGGGUACUGAACAUGUCCCAAACACAACAUCACUAGCUUUAAGGCAAGCACUUUUGGAGGUUUUCAGUAAACACGAUCCACUUAUUGCAAGACUACGAGGGCAAGGGUAUGAUGGGGCAUCUAAUAUGAGAGGAGAAUUUAAUGGCCUUCAGAAGUUAAUCCGUGAUGAGAACCCAUAUGCUUUCUACAUUCAUUGUUUUGCACACCAAUUGCAGUUGAUAGUUGUUGCUGUAUCGAGAUAUUGUAAAGGUCUCGAGGAUUUCUUUAGUGAUGUGGCCAUGAUUGUCACUCUUAGCAGUUCAUCUUGCAGGAGGAAAGAUAUAUUGCUUGAGAAGCAAAGACAGGUACUUUUGGCUAAGAUUGAGAAAGGUGAGAUGCCCACGGGGAGAGGGAAAAAUCAAGCAACAUCAUUGGUCUGACCUGGAGAUACAAGAUGGGGUUCUCAUUGCAGAACCUUAUCUCGCAUUGAAUCAAUGUGGGAUGCGGUGAUACAAGUUUUGGGCAUUGUUGAGGACGAUGGCCGUGUUCCAAGUAGGGCAGGAGGUUUGGUUCAUCAAAUGGAGACUUUUAGCUUUGUGUUCCUCCUGAAGAUGAUGUUAAAACUAUUUCGUAUGACAAAUGAUGUAUCUCUUCUAUUACAAAGGAAGGAUCAGAAUAUUGUUCAGGUAUGUGAUGAAUAUUUUUGUGGUUCUACUUUCUCUGUACAUUUUGUGUACCUAAACUUCUGGUUGUAUCAUUUCAGGCCAUGUCUUUGCUUAAGGAUGUGAGAACACGUUUGGUCAAUUGGAGAAAUGAUGGUUGGGAGCCACUGUUGGAAGAUGUCAAAUCAUUUUGCACUGAAAAUGACAUCGAAAUCCCAAGUAUGGACCAAAUGGUAACAAAAUGGGGUAAAUCAAGAAAAGGGGGAAGACAUCAGGUCACUACUGAUCAUUUUUUUCGUGUGGACACCUUCUAUGUUGCUAUAGAUUCCAUUAUCACUGAGUUUGAUCAUCGCUUUAAUGAGGUAUCUUCACAGUUGCUUCAGAGCUUCGCUUGUCUUGAUCCAAGAGACUCAUUUGCUAGGUUCAAUGUGGAUAGCCUUGCUUAUGAUGAUGAUUUCUCUAAUUACGAGCGUGAGCAUAUAGUUGAUAGCCUUGAGCUAUAUAUUAUUCAUAUGAGAGUUGAAGACUUCAUAGAUUGUUUUGAUAUUGCAAGCCUAGCUAAAAAGAUGGUUGCACUUGAAAAGCACAUCAUGUUUCCUACAGUUUACCGCCUCAUUGAAUGGCAUUGAUUUUACCGGUGGCGACGGCAACAGUUGAAAGGGCCUUCUCAGCUAUGAAGAUCAUCAAGACCGAGUUGCGCAAUAAGAUGUCUGAUGGUUGGCUUAAUGACUUGAUGGUGUGCUACAUUGAGCGGGGGAUAUUCAAAAAUCUUGAUCUUGAUAAGAUUAAAAGAGAUUUUCAAAAGCAAGGUAGAGCUAUGCCAUUGCCUGGGCCUUCUAUAUGGCACUAAAGCUUCAUUAUCGGUAUGUCUCAAAGUUCUACUUCUGUUUUAUUAUGUUUCUGUCUCGAUUGUACUAAGUGAUCAUGUUUACAAUCAUAGAAAACAUUAAUGUGAUGGAGUACUUCAAGGCCAUCAUUAAUUUUUUUUUCUAUGCUUUGAGAGUUCGCCCCACCUUGAUUUUGUUUCGUCCUCCGCCCAUGGUCGUGUCAAUGCAUGAGUGUGGCUAGCAUGCACAGCACUUGGAUUCAUUUUGCUUUUCUUCACCUCUCGAGCCAUGGGCAGAGGCAUCCCCGGGAGACGGUGAAAUCGCCCGUGUCAUGUCUCCUCUUUGGCUACCGACGGUGAAAUCAUAAUAUAUUUUUACUGUUAAUAAAUUCAUUUGCAUAUAAUUUAGAUGUUUGGUAUUUUUCUGGAAUAUUGGAUUUGCUGUAUUUUUUUUAUCGACCCAGAAUAUUUACUUUUUUCUCUUAUUUUUCUAUGAAUCUUUAGAUUAGUUUAAAUUCAUAGCACAUUAUACGGUAGAUUAGUUGAUCAUUACAUGUUUUAGUAAGAGAGCUGCAUUAUGUGUGGCACACUUCAGUUUGUGUGACAAUUUUCUUAUCUUGAAUUUCCUUUUUCUUUUACAUAUACUUUAUCUUUUUUGUACGCACGAUGCACUAAGCAUUGAUUUUCCAUAAUCCAUUGGCUUGUAUGCUGAGGAUGUUUUCAGUAAAUGUUCGACACGAAAUUUCCCUGUGUGGUUUCUGGUGUUGCCAGCAGCGAGAGCUGUUUGACGUCAGGUUGCGGCUCUGGUAGUAGAUUUGGGUGCGCUGCAUCUUUGGGGUUAUAUUGAAACCGAAUGUCCUUGCUAGCUAUGUACUCCUACAAAAAAAAAUGUAUCCUACAUAACAUCUACGACAAGUUGUUUCCUUUUCUAUUUAUUUUUUAAAUAUCAGUCCAAUUUUGGCUAUCGAUAGUCCCCACCGGAAAUUGAACCUGCUUUCCUGCGCUGCCGUGUGUGUGUGUUUCUGACAGUGGUGUGUGCUGCCGUGUGUUUGCUACCGAAUCUCGUUUGCUACGACUGUGCCCGUUCUCUGCCUGGCGCCCUGCCGGUGGCCCUCGCAUGGGUGGUUAGAAUCUAAAUUUUAUGUCAUAUAAAUUAUAUUAUAAUGGAGUAAUUUCUGGUCAAGGCUUAGUCAACAGAAAGCUAACCGGCCUACUAUUACUGGAGUACUAGCGCACAAUAUCUUAGGUAUUUCUUCAAUUCAAACCUACAUCCAAGAUAUAAUUGUCGGGGGAUGGUAGGUCCACGACUAUGAUUUGGUUCACCGUGGCCCAUCCUAAGAGGCAGGGCCGUAUAGUGGCAGGUGCAAGGUAUGCAUUUGUUCAGGACCACCAAAAAUUAGGGGCCUCCAUUUUAAUUAUAAUACUAAUUAGCUAUGCUUAUUAAAAUUAAAUUUUAAGGCUCAUUAAAUAGAAAAAGAAAAAGGUCCAUGAAAAGAGGGGCAAAGGGCAAAUGUCCUGCUUCUCAUGUACGCAUUCAUCAUAUGAGACCACGUCAUGUCGUGAUUAUUCAAUUUCAUUUAGGAAAAUACUAAAAUGAUGGUGCUUUUCGGUAGAACAUGAGCAACUUAUUGCUUCGUCACAACCUUUAUUAUUUUAGCAUGAAGAUUGAUAUUGUUCUAAGGAGUAUUGUAAAAUAUAAUGUAUCUAGUAAUAUAAUGAACAGAAAGUAUAGUUUGGUUAUGUAACGUCUUUGAAUCUUAAGGCCACAUUUCAUGUUUUGCACCAGGGCCUCAAAAUCCUAGAUACGGCCUUGCUAAGAGGCCCGACAGGCUGAGUCACUAUCAUGCCUAUCAUCCGACUAGGUUACUUCCAUGUGUGCAGGGGAGAACUUAGGGUUUAAGGCAGAGCGCGGUCCUUGGCAUCUACAAGUGUUUAGUAAUUUGAGUCAUGUGGUCAUCAUCGACAACGCUAUGCAAAGUGUUAGGCCGCCGAGAAUAAAGUUACUCUGCUGCGACGAUGUUAUGGGUAGUAUAUCGGGGGCAAAGAGUUUUUACUCGCUGCGGGUUUGAUUUGUCUGAUAUUACAGAUUUUUGGUUUUGUCCUCACUUCACACGAACUUGAUGAAUUUUUGUCUGGUGUCUUUGUUGGUAUGGUCCUUUGCGCUUGUGAAGUCCUAGGACAUUAUCGUGAAUAUCUUGGUGUUAGAUGACUUGUACCUUUGGGCGAUCAUCGAUGGAUCAAAUACGUUUAACGCUCGUGACUUUACAUCUUUUUGGAUGGGCGACUAAAGUGGCUUUUUGAAACCUUUUAAUGUAGCCAAGUUCUUGAAGGGUACCAGUGACGAUGCUUCCACUCUGAUAUAAUUGCAGUCUCUUUGCUCAAGUCGUGUCGCAAAGAUUGAUACUAAAGAAAUUAUGUGUUCGAUAGAUUUCAUUGUAAUUCGUAGUUAUAUGAGUUGUUACUUUGUCAUUUCUUCGAUCCAUGAUCCAAACAGCGUACAUGUAAUGGUUAUUUAGUUCGAAUAAAGUUACAAGUGAUCUAAAAAUUCCACGUCACCACUCGGAAAUGGACUCUCUACAACCAACUUCCACUCAGUGGUCGCCUGCAGCGUGACUACUAUAACCGUCAAGAUAGGCCUUACUGCUACGUGGAUCGAAGUACAAAUGCAGUCUCAGAAUGAAGUGCUUUGUACAACAAUAUAUGGUUGGGUUUUGGAACUCUAAGGUCUUCAUCGUGCAUCUAUAAAUUAUACUCAUCCUGAAGGAUAUCCAAGAGCCCAGCAGAAGUUCCACUUCCCAUGGCUUAAUUUUUGCAAAACGUGAAUGCAAUCGUGCUAACGCAUCUACAGUUCAUUCGGCUUCCAUUGUUUAGGCUGGAAUCCUGUAAUUUAUUUUGGACUUCAGAGACCAAUUUGUUUGGUUGACAUAAAACUGUUUCAAGAAUUUAAUUUAAAAUUAUGUGGAAUCAUAGAUACACAUAACUCCACUUUAUCACUAAAAUGCAUCAUUUAAUUGGAUUUGUUUCUCAUUCUACAAUCCGUAUGACAAACAAACAUAUUUUUUUGUUCAAAUUUAUCGAAAUGAACCUUUACAGAAUAUUUGAUUUCACGGGCUACCAAAGGAUCUUUUAAUGGCUAAGCAUGCUGGUAUUUGUAUCCUAGGCUAUACUCCCUCCGUCCCAUUAUAGUAUACAUAUUUCAUUUUUUUCUUUUGACCAACCCUUUGACAAAAAAACAAUCAACUAAUAUGUGACUUAUGUAAUCGAAAACAUAAUCAAUAUAGUGAUAUCAGUUUAAUUCACAAAAUUAUGUGCUAAUAAAUUAGUAUUGGUUUUUUUUUUGAAAAAGAGGGCAACCCCCAGCCUCUAUAAUAAAUAUUGGUUAAAAAAGUUUGGUCAAAGCAGUGAAAUACUCCUAUAGUGGGAGUGGGACUGAGGGAGUACUUGGCUUAACAAUAGCCCGCUAACGUUCUUACAUUCAGUAAAGCACGUUCGCUUAGUUUCGGAAGAGGCAACACAGAGUACAAAAUUAGGUGCGACCUAUGCAGAAUCAAAUUUUUUUUUGAAGCAAUGCAGAAUCAAUUGAAUCAACGGUGAUUAGGAAGGCUGACUUGAUGUGUGCUGGAGCCUGGAGUAGUCGAGUAGAGCCUUGCGUGAAGCAGCGGUCGUGGUGGAAAGUGGUAACCACGAUCAGGGCACGCUCGGCGCAAGAGGCGCGGGGUUGUAACCCGGUCAACCCACAAGGCCACGACCAGCAUUACCACGCGUAGGAGCCAUUUGCGGAGGCAGCAACCGGAGUCCGUGGCCGCCGCAUGAACUGCCAUGGUCAAAGCACUUCCCGUCCACCAAAUCAGACCUGGUCAAAGCACUUUGCCAUUCGGCUCCCUCGUUACUCGUUAGCUGCCAGUACAAGUUUAAAUAUUCCGUAUUCUAUUUACAUUCAAUAUCGGCCCACUAGCCCACUGGGCCAGCCCAUACGAAAAGAAAUCCCAUGUUGCCGAAUCGGUCUGGCCAUCCCUACAUCCGGUGCCCGAUCGAUCGACCGAUCCUGUUUUCGAAAAAAAAAUUCCCGGCCAUUCCGGCGCCGCCACGAGCUCACGCUGCCUCGACCAACAGCAAGCAGCCGCACGCCGGCCCACGGGCCCAUCCGUCACCCCCUACGACCUGGACCUGCGCUUCUCUCUCUCGACGCAGCGUCAGCAACCUAAUCCCAGCCCCCCUCUCCCAACGGCUAGUUCCAGAUCCACCAGAUAGGUGCCACGUACCCCGAUCCGCCACGCGUAAGGCCGUGCCUCCGCCGUCCGAUCCACGCGUUCCGUCCCCACACGCGGUCGGUCGCCAACCCACCUCGAUUUCGAAAACAAUAUCCCACGUACGCCGACACCACCACCCCCUGCUCCGAACUUUGGAUUCCGGUGGUUCCUGCAAUUUUCUAGAAACACCCCUGCGGGAAGAGUAUUCGAGGCAGGUUCCGUGGCGAGCGGAGCUGCUAUAAAUUCAGCCAAGGGGGAGGUCAAGCUGUUUCCAUAUUUACCUCGCCAGGUCCUCCGCCAUUUCUUCGCAGAUAGGUUUGCUUCGAGUUUAAGGAAGUUGUUCUAGUUCCGUGCCCAAGGGUUUCUCAUCCGCCAAUCCCUAUUCAACUGAUCGAGGGAUACUUUGAUUUUCCUGAGGCUGCGACUGAGAAGGAAAGGGAGAAAGGUAAUCAUCCAUUCAAUUGUUCUGUUUCGUUGUCCCCAGUUGGGGAUUCUAGUUUCCGGUUCGAUUUGGGCUCGAUGUUCCGUUUUCCGAAGAGUUCUCUGGGUUUUCUGUUCCUAUCUACGAUUCUGUUCUGAUUUUAGAUCAGAAAUUGGGAUUUUUGUCUCGCCUGCUCCAUUCAUGAUUCUGCUGGCCGCUGGUUUGUUGACAACUAGCUAUUUUUGUGCGAUGCUGUUUUCGAAAAAUUGGGUAUUGUUUUUCCCAGUGAAAAUCCCGGUGAUAGUUGAAUUACUACUGCAAGACUAAUCUAAACUUCGAUUUCUUCGUUGCUGGAUAAUCAUUCUUUCCUAACUCUAUGCAGAUUACCUUAUUUUGGGAGAUCCCGGAUCAGAUAGGUAACUUGUGCCAUCAAGAGCAGUAGAGUUCAACAAACGAAAGAGGGGAAAAUGGCAAUUGGACAGGCUAUGCCGAAGGGGUCUCUUGCCACAAGCUUGAGCUUUCCAAGCAGCGGCAGCACUAGGAUCCUGGGGAGGAAGAGGGUUGCCGUUUCGCCGGCUCCAAGCCCCUCCGGCCCACACUCGCCGGUGCGGACUCUGCGCAAGCAGCGCAGCAUCAGGUUCCACAUGGACGACACCGUCUGCAUUCUUGAAUCACUGCCUCAGGAUGUCUUGGUAAUUACUACUAUUGCGCAUUAAUGUUCCUUCUAAUUCUGUUUUUGUUCCCUUCUAGUGGAAAUCAGUUCUUUGUUCUUAGAUAUGUUGCUUACAGCAUUUUGAUCAAAACAAUUCAGGUUAAAGUCUUGUGCAAGGUGAACCACAGUGACCUGAGGCAGCUCCUCCUAGUGUCGAAACUAGUCAGCGAAGCAGUAAGCACUUCUGAAUCCUUUCCUCGUACCCCCAUUUUGUGCAGUGGAUUCGUUGCCCAGGUAUACUAACAUUGCCUUCCUUCAAUUUGCUGUCUGCAGACAGUUGUUGCUAAAGAGCUGCAUUUCGCUUUCGCAACGCCUUCCAAGGCCGCCGUUAGAGGCGAGGAGGAGGAGGAGGACGAAGGCCCCGGGGCGCCCAAGCAACACAGGGUUGCACGGUCACGCCACCGGGGCAAGAACCUGGCGAGCCUCGCCGUGAAUCUGUCGGCGUCCUUCGACAGCUUGAUGUCAGAGGUGUAGGUGUAAAUACCACGGCCCAUUUUUCGCAUGUACUUUGCCCAUCUUUAGUGUUUCUUCUUUGAUAGCUCACGUCGGACAGAGGAACUUAGGUAGUGAUAUAUAUAUAGUCAUAUCAUAUGUGUGUUAGUGGUAAGUUAUAUAUGAUCAUUCUUCAAUGCUGUGAUUGAAGAGGACACGAUGUUUUAUUUCUGUGUAUGUAUUAGUUUUAGAGUAAGUUAUAAGCGUCCUGAGUGUUGGAACUCAGAAGAGAUGAGAUAUGUCUCUUCUCCUUUGUGCAUGCUGUAGUGUACGAUCUCUGUAUACUGAUGCUACAAACAUGGGGAUGUACUCUUGUCGUUACAGAAUAAAUCAGUUUGUUUGGUCAUUUUUAUUUCAUUCCUGUGCAAUCUUAUUCAUAUUUCUGUAGUCAAUCGCUACUUGUAUGUGUGUGGUCUUUGAAGAACGAUGAAUGCUGUAUCUGAAACAUGAAAUUUGUGGGGAUACAGUACAGUCGCUACUCGCCCCCUCCCUCCACAGGCUUUUCCGCCAUAAUCUGUUCUCUGAACUCUCGGCCUCAGAUUAGCAUGCAAAUUACUCUCAGAUGGAGUAAAUCUGAAGAUAUAUCUGAUUGAUAAAAUUAAGUCCUUGGUCAGACAUGUUCAUCCAUUUCCACGGUCGUGAGUUGGGACAGUUAAGCCACUAGUGUCCCAGAUUAGUCGACACUCGACACCUUGGAUCGAAAUUUUAUCUCGAAAAUAUGAUGAGAGGUGAACUGAACCUGUCCGAGCUGAGGCACCACGACGACAUGUGGCAGAUUCGCCUUGCGUCCGGCAUGUCCAGUGAAUUCACCUAUCUCUCUCUGUUUUGGAGCCACUCACGGCCCACGUUUUUGCUAAUCUGAGCCUCGUGUGGUUCCGUGGAAAACGCGUGAUUUGCAGCUCUGGAUCAUUGGAUCCGCACAUCUCUGCAGUCUGCAGAAAUCCACAGUCCACGGAUCCACCGCAUCCUCCUCUGUUUUGCUGAAGAAAACAGCAGGUGUUCCUGCCGGUUACCGCACAUCUCGUGCACGUACAGCUAAUGCGCGACGUGUACCGCAAGGAAUUCUUCAGGCUUCACCACGCCGAUGCUUCCUUGAACGCGUAGGAAAACAAAGAACAGCUAUACCACCGGCGUUGCAACUUGCAACCACCUAUCGACAGCUGCUCGUGCCGCCUCAAAGAAAAACACUUUGGCCUGCCCCUGCAAUGCAACCCCGGAUACCUCCAAAACUGCCCAGCACGGCGCACUCAGCACCACCAAGGCAUCAAACUGAACAAUACCAUUGGCCGUCUACGCGGAGCGUCUAGUUAACAAUGGACAGGGGACAGCACGGCCGUUCUACGCCGGCUCGGUAUGUGUGGUGUGGCGUGGUGUCAGUGUCUGCCGCGUUUGUGCCGCGGCAGGCAUUGCGGUUGCGGCACGUGGAUUGGAGUCAGGGGCCGCCGGUCGGACGCGGACCACGCUGGGGCUGGCCGGCACGCAUUCCUGGCUGGCUCGAAGGCGAAAAGUAGACGAACAGAUUGGCGGGAUAGCCUCCGGUGGCGGUCGAUCAGAAGGGGCGCCGCGCCGGCCCGGGUCCAUUCCAUCCGCUGCCUAUCCUGCAGGCAGAGUUCUUUUUUUUUCUGUUGGCUGUGGUUUUCUCCUGAAAAAAAACCUUCUUGUAUACUGGCUGCAGGCUACUUGCCUACUUGUCUGGAAAACGUGAAGGGAAUGCCACAACCAACUUGCCAACUAGUGGUGGCAUACUUUGUCCGACCUACAUUCCCUCCACAUUUUCAAUUUCUGUAGGUACCGGGUACCUGACGAAACAUGCCGUCCUGUGGGCCGUGGCGUGAGACGUGAGGUGCAAUGUCCUCGCAGUUUCGCCUCCGUUAACUUGGUUUGACUCCUGACGAGUCUUCGAGUUCCUUUCUCUUGCCGUCUCGCCUGUUAAACCGCCUGCAGGCUGCAGUACUGCGACCUCCCAGUCGCCAUCAGUUCACGUGGGAUAGGGACUCAUCAUCAUCACGGAUAAGAAAGAGAACAGUUGUUCCACAGCGGCACGUUCUACAGCAUUUUCAUAUCUCGAGCUGCUGUUAUCUCAUUGCGGGUGGUGUCACGGCAGAUGUCAUAGAAUGACUUGUGUUGGGGCCGACGAACGAAGGAGAAACGAAGGAGGGAGGACGUGAUGAGAACCACGCACAACACAAGAACACGCACACGGUUUACCUAGGUUCGGAGCCUUUUUGUUGAGGUAAAACUCAAAUUCCUGCCUUUUAUUAUUUGCCGAGAUACCGAGAUCUACGAUGGUGAUCCUUGAGCAGUUUUCUUGAGGAAGAAGAAGAAAAAGGAAAAAACCCUAAAUGUCUAAGUGAAGGACCCCUCUCCUUGGAGGGGUAGUGUUUCUAUUUAUAGGCCGAUAAUGUCACACUGACAUGUGGAUCAAAAACUAACCCUAUCUUCUAUGCGCCCCGCCGGGCACGCGCCUCGGUUUCCUCCGGGUGAGACGGCAGCCUCCUAUGAUAAAGAGGGCGUUGUUUUACUUUGCGCCAUGUGAUAAGAAUAAGACCGUUGACGCGUCUUGGUGGAAGCCAAGAUUGGACUGCUCAUGCUUUAUCCUGCAGCCACAUAAGACAAGAUAGACAUGCCGGCGUACCCUUGGUACGCUGGUCUGAUAUUAGUUCAGCUUAAGGAUGCCGGCGUACAUGCCUGUGCCGGCUUUGCACUCGUCAUCUCGGCUAAUGUGUGUCGUCAUGACUCUACCCGGGGUCAUCCCCUGACAAUCAUGUAAGAAUAGAUUUAAAAUCAAGUGCAUCAAAAUUUCAAUUUCCAAAUCUACAUAAGUGUCCACCUUUUGCUCGUAUGUUUUGUCUUCGCAAGAAAAUCACUUGUCCUUUAACAAUCUGUCAACUGAAAUAAGUUACUUCGUCCGACCCAUAUUAUUUGUCUCAAAUUUAUCCAAAUAUGGAUAUAUCUAUGUUUAAAAAAUGUCUAAAUACAUGUAAUAUUCCGACAUGUAACUUGUUUAGAUUGUGUCCUAAAAAAAAUCUCUCAAAACUUGUUUAGAUUUGGCUCUCUAUGCAUGUAUGUGCUAGGGAGUCUGCUGCAUGCCUUGUCCGCUUGUACUACUAAAGUCGUUGCCGGCCGUCCGAUGAGAAUAGACGGUAGAUGGUGGGGCUCAGGGCACGCGGUGCCCGAUCCCAGUCCAACAAAAAGGCUAGAUCGAUCCAUACUGAACUAAAUUGGACGUGAAAACUUUCAGGCAAUUGCACUUCACUAAUCAUUAGGUUUUGACCAUCGCAUCAUCGUCUCGAAAAGUUUCUCACGCUAUAUCUUAUGAAGCGUAACAGAGCUUACUAACAUACUCCCUCUGUCUUUUUUUUCCCGGGCGUGAAACUUGCUAGCUGUACCAAGGCAUUUUGCUGCUCUUGUGUUGAUUGUUGGGAGAUGCAUCCUAGCUGGGUGUUGAUAGGCUCAUCUGGGUGGCUGGGUCGGCACGACAAAUACGUUCGGGCAUUAUCGGACUGCAUGCAAAAAUAUAUGUGCAAUUUAGAAUCAGAUAUCAACUGUACCAUGAGAUGUGUAAAUAUCACUAAAAUAUUUUUAUUAUUAGAGUAAAUUUCAAAGAACCACAAUUCUUGGGACAGUCUUUUCAACAGACCACACAUUUUGCUAAUUUGUCCGAAAAACCACACUUCUUCGUCGGACAGAUUGUCUCACUUCACCCAAAUCAGAGGGUUUAACCAUUUUGACAUUUUUUCUUACGUGCGGUCCCAUAUGUCAGGCCACCUCAGACUUAACCCGACCCGAUCCGAUAACCUUCACUCUCCUGCGGGUCCCACUCAAGCUCUGAGAUUGCUUCUCUUCUCCACAGCAGCCCUGCAACCUCCACGGCCGGGCACCUCCUUCUCUCGUCCUUGGCGACGUGUUCGAGCGCCAAUUUGGUCCUAAGCCGUGCCGUCGAGACCUCCUCAUCGCCCAUCACCUAGAUCCGCAAGCCAAUCCUCCACGCGUGGUCUCUGUUCACCAGAACGCGAGCGGCAUCCUCUGUGUCCAGAGCGCGCCCGCGCGUGCGUCGCCUUGCGCCACCGCGGCCGUAGCCCUCCCCGUGCCGCGAGACGUUGCCUAGAAGCUCCGCCUUGUCGAGUUGAUCUUCCCAACAGAAGGAAUCGUCCUCGAGGGCCGAGAAUCGUCGCCAUCGACAUCUUCUUCCCCGGCUCCGGCUGCUAGCCGCCACCGCGCGAUCUCCUCGUCCGGUGGUCCUGUACCUCCACCGCAGGCUUGGCGAGAUCCGGGAGGACAAGAAGAACCCUUUGGUGCUCUUCCCCAAGCCCCGCUCGCCCCGAGCCGUCCCCGCGCCGUCCGCCUACCUCGGCCGCCGCCCGUCGCCGACGAGCUCCCCUCUGCGGUUUCCGAGCGCGCGCUCGCGUUCGUUGUGAGCUUCUCGUCGUUUUGCCCCGCUUCCCGCGCCCACGCCGCCGCCUCCUCCACCGCGCACCUCCCUGCCGACUCCUCCACCGUCGCCCUCGCCGACGAGCUCGAUGCAGUAGGGCUUGGUGGCACCGGCGACCGUGCCGUGCUGCUGCUCGGCCUCCUCCACCGGCUCCCAGUACUGUGCGGGCAGACAAGGGAAGGCGCGGAAGGGGGGGGGGGGGGGGGGGGCAGCGAGGGGAGGGCGGAGGACCCGUGGCCUGGCUGCCGGCGUCAAGGGAGACAAAAGCUUGAGUUUUUUUUCUGAGGGCAAGGAGAGAGCUUGAGUGGGACCCGCAGGUCAGAGAGAAAGAAGGAGAGGAACCGUUAUCGGGUCGGGUCAGGUUAAGCCUGACAUGGCACCUGACAGCGGGCCCCACAUGGCAGGAAAACUGCCAAACAUGCCUAAUCAUCAGAUUUGGGUGAAGUGAGACAAUCUGCCUGAAGAAGUGUGGUUUUUCGGGCAAAUUAGCAAAAUGUGUGGUCCGUUGAAAAGACUGCCCCAAGAAUUGUGCUUCCUUGAACUGUGGUCCCGCAAGUAAAAAGAUAUCAAGAAACCUAAAUCUUU
rnacentral:lncRNA from 1 species